GCAGGGCAGCUUCGACAACCGUGCGGCGGGCAUCAUGGCGCUCGGCGGCGGCCCGGAGUCGCUGCUGGCCCAGACGGCGUCCCGCUGGGGGAACGCCUUCUCCUACUGCAUCCCGCCGACGUCGAGCAACUCCGGCUUCUUCGGCCUCGGCGUGCCCGGCGGCGUCGCCUCCUCCAGGUACGUGGUGACGCCGAUGCUCAGGUACCCGAACCUGCCCACCUUCUACCGCGUGCUCCUCCGGGCCAUCACCGUCGGCGGGCAGCGGCUCAACGUGCCCGCCGCGGUGUUCUCCGCCGGCUCCGUGAUGGAUUCGCGCACGGCCAUCAGCCGCCUGCCGCCGACGGCGUACGCGGCGCUGCGGGCGGCGUUCAGGAACGCCAUGAGGAUGUACCGCCCUGCGCCGCCCAAGGGGAACCUCGACACCUGCUACGACUUCACCGGCGUCGCCAACGUCAGGCUGCCGAGGAUCGCGCUGGUGUUCGACCGGAACGCCGUCGUGGAGCUGGACCCGUCGGGGAUCCUCUUCAGCAGCUGCCUCGCUUUCGCCUCCAACCGCGACGACCACAUGCCGGGCAUCCUCGGCAGCGUGCAGCAGCAGACGUAUGAGGUGCUCUACGCCGUCGGCGGAGGCGCUGUCGGAUUCCGCCGUGCCGCGUGCUGAGCGCCACCUCGCCCUGCCAUCCAAUCCAUCUGUCUACUGGCAUUAUAUUGUUGCUUUACUCGUUUCCACACCCACUGUUAACUACUAUAUGUAAGACCUAUCUGGUCAAUGGUCAUGGAUUUCUACAAGCUAAUCUCACAGGGAGGUGAGGUAGUUUGUUGCCCAAAUAAACCGAAGAUUUGCAAGUUGUAUGUGAUCCUGCCGGCUUAUAAGCUUGUACUUCUAUCAGAAAUUUGUUAUAUUGAUCAUGUCCGGAAGGAGAAGGGACUUUGUUUUGAAACCGUAAAUUUGUUCAACGUGUGCAUUUUUGUUUAUUUUCUGUGUCCUUCAAGAAAAGAGUACAAUAUUAUACUUCGUCCGUUUCAAAUUGUAGAGUAUUUUAACUUAUCUAUAUACAUAAUUUUUGGAGUGAAAUACUCCAGAGGUCCAUCAUACGGUGCCAUUUAGAUCCAUAAACUCCGAAAGUGUAUUUUUAGAUCUAGAAACUUGUUAAGUCGUUCACUGUAGGUCCAUACCUCUCCAUAGUAUCCGUUUAGCAUAGCUCCAACUUCGAGAUCCAUGUUAGGUCUGUACUCUAAAAUCUAAAAUAAAAUAAUUUAAAUAUUUGUGUUUAGUCUAGAUUAUAAAUAAAAUAUUUUAGCUAAAUGUUCGUGAUAGACCUGCACCUCUAAAUCUAAUACCUAACUCUAAGUGAUCCAAGUUUUUUCCAGUAACUCUGCCGAAUAGGGUUACGGUGUUAGAAACAAUGUAUACCUAAGUUUUAUCCAAAUGAAAUCCAUAUCUUCUUUUUUCUCAUAAAUACUUUAUCAUGUUAUUAUAUUUGGUGAGGCGACAUACCAUUUAACAAGAAUGACCACGAUAAUGACCUAAUAAAAAAAGACAAAAAGAUCUAUCCUAUCUAAUUUGUCGAUUCAAUAGAAGCCCAAAGAGGUGCAUAUGGUACCAUCCCUUCCUUGGUUAUCAUGCUGAGCUGCCAUUCUCAAUGGAGUGGGGGUUUCGUGAGAUAGUUUCUAAGACUAUGGCAUCAUCUAAACUAAUUGGACGUAAUUGGACGUACUCAGAUGAAAUGAAACCAUGUAGUUCUCGAUGUCAAUUUUACCAUGUUUCAUAGGAUCUGUUUAGCAUAGCUCCAACUUUAAGAUCCAUGUUAGGUCUGUACUCUGUAAUCUAAAAUAAAAUGAUUUAAAUAUUUGUGUUUAGUCUAAAUUAUAAACAAAAUAUUUUAACUAAAUGUUCCUAAUAGAUCUGCAGCUCUAAAUCUAAUACCUAGCUCUAAGUGAUCCAAGUUUUUUCCGGUAACUCUGCCGAAUAGGGUUGUAGUCUUAGAAACAAUGUAUACCAAGUUUUAUCAAAUGAAAUCCAUAUCUUCUCUCUUCUCAUAAAUACUUUAUCAUGUCAUUAUAUUUGAUGAGGCGACAUGCCAUUUAACAAGAAUGACCACGAUAAUGACCUAAUAAAAAAAGACAAAAAGACCGAGGCCCAACACAUCGUGUCCCUUACUUCGAGCUUUCCCAACCCUUUUAUAAUCAAAUUGCACAUCAUGUGCGCGCAUCCACCUUUGCUAAGAUAAAGAAUAGACAAAGACCCAGGCAAGAACCUAACAAUUGUUAUCACAUCUCAGAAAGCAAAAGCGAUCGAAUACGUUGCAUGCACAUGCACCGGCAUCAUAUAUUAUGUGCACCAGAAAGGGCCCUACUCAUCCUAUCGAGGCAGGUAUCCUUUGCUGUCCUUGCAUUGGAUCUUUUCCUUCGUAAUGCAUGCACCUUUAGCUCCGAAUUCCUCAAAGCGAGAGGAAAGAAUAAAGAAGGACCGACGCCGCAAUGAGAUCAAACAAUCAUAUAGAAAUGAAAAAAAAUAAAAAGACGAAAAGGACCAACAAUCGUUAUCAUGUGUGCAUGAUUAUUUACUCGAAAAAAAUGCGCGUGAUUAUUGCACAUACACUCUUAGGGAACCAUGUUGAGUUGUGCUACACAUGUGGUUCAACAUGUUAGUGACGAGAGAUACAUAUUGAUGACUUGUCGAAAUGGUUAGGGCUUUUUUGAACAUAUAGUUGCUUUAUUCAAAUUGGUUGUACAUUGUUAAUUUACUUACCAAAGGGGAUACCGCCGUAAGAUCAUCAUCAUCAUAUAUAUAUAGCAUAUUGGAUUCAUUAGGUUCCUCGUAGUAGAACCGUUCCACCGGAUUUGAAUCCUAGACUUAGCACUUCUACUCAUUAUAGGAAUAAAUGAUGCUAUUUUUUAAGUGGUAGGUAGCAUGCCGACCUGUCGGCAGCAAAGGCUACUUCUAUGGCAAUUUUGAAAAUCCCAAUAUCUACUGACUCACUAGUCUCACGGAGGCGAUUGGUUGUGUUUAUAGGGAUGAGUGUAUGUGAAUAUUUAACUCUAUACUAUGUUUCAUAAAAAAAGGUGAAGUACGCAACAAAUGAGGCAGAUAUGGUAGAUGAUAUGCCUCAAAUAAAGGAUCGCAAGAAUAGAUGCGCGACACAAUAUAUUAUCUUAGUUUUGUUCUAUUGCAUUUUGAGCGUAUAACUGAAUAAUAUGCAUGGCUUCUUGCUCUGUGUUGCUCCCUUUUGCCUAUAGAACUCAAUCUAUCAAAACUUCAUGCGCACCAAUACUAUGUUAAAAAGAAGUCUUCAUGUCACGAAGUCAUUCGUGGUACACAAUCAACAAGCUCCCACUACUGGAAAAAUCACCUCUAGCACCGGUUCUAAACCCCCCUCUAGUAUCGGUUGUGCAACCGGUAGUGGCCAUCCGGUACUAGAGGGGGUCCUUUGGUAUCGGUUCAAAUAACCGGUACUAAACGGCACCCUUUAGUAUCGGUACUAAAGGGCUUCCCACGCCACAUGGGGAGGUGCCCUCAUUACUACCGGUUGGUAUCCCCAACUGGUACUAAUUUCUUUUAUUUUCUUUUCUUAUUUUCUGUUCCUUUAUUAUAUAUUUGUAUUUCGUAUUUAUUUCCUUUACGUACACUAGUUCUAAUACGCUACUAUAUGUAAAGUUCUAUUUAUCUUUAAUAUAACAUUUGAGAUAAUAUUAUAUAUAUACACAUAUUGUGCAUACACAUACAUGAAUAACAUUACACAUAUUUAUAUAUAGACAUAUUGUGCAUACACAUAUCGUAUUUAAUUACUAAUCUGAACCUGAGUCCAUAUUGUGCACUAGUUGAGAUCCAUCAUUAUCAAACUCCCCCGCAUAUUUGUGUCCUCGUACAGAAGAAAUCCACAUAGUUGAUCUUGUAUUGCCCUGAAAACUUCGGUGUCGAUGAGUUUUUCCUUCCUGGUCAUCAUCUGUGUCAUUAGCAAAUGAAUUAGAAAUAUUUAAUCUAAAUUUGUUGAACAAUUGAAACUUUUUUAAGUAUAAGCAUAUGAAUUGAAAUACAUAAUCUAAUUUUUCUAAGUAUAUACACAUGGAUUGGAUUUUGAGGUAUAAGCAUAUGAAUUGAAAUACUUAAUCUAAUUUUUCUAAGUAUAUACUCUUGGAUUGGUUUUUGAAGUAUAAGUAAAUGAAUUCAAAUACUUAAUCUAAUUUUUCUAAGUACAAGCAAAUGAAUUGGUUUUUGAAGUACAAGCAUAUGAAUUGAAUUACUUAAUCUAAUUUUUCUAAGUAUAUACACAUGAAAUGGUUUUCGAAGUAGAAACAUAUGAAUUGAAAUACUUAAUCUAAGUUUUCUAAGUAUAUACACAUGAAUUGGUUUUUGAAGUAUAAGCAUAUGAAUUGAAAUACUUAAUCUAAUUUUUCUACGUAUAUGCAUAUGAUUUGGUUUUUGAAGCACAAGCAAAUGAAUUAAUUUUUGAAGAAUAUACACAUGAACUAAUUUAUUGUUGAGAAUUUUGUAUAUGUACGGUUAAUUCAUGUUCAGUGAUAUGGUUCGGACCCACAAAGUCAUGGAUGAAGUCACAAACGUAGUAUCCACAUAAAUGAGUACCCUCCUGCUAUCUCGAACACUAUAUAUAUGGAAAAAAGUUAUGAAAUAUUUGUUGGGUUAAAGGAAGUAUCACGAGAUGUGAAAAUUUAACACAUACUGAAAAUCUAUCUUCCAAACAAGUUGCUCCGUGAAAUUACCCUUGUGAGUUUGAUGGAAUCGAGCUCAGCAUUUGUUCAGAGCGUUCAUGAUGUCAACGUAUUUUUCUUUUGGUUUCCUCAAAGAGUCCAAGACAUACACGAAGCUCCAAGCGGGGAUAAUAAUGAGUACCCAAUGGUACAUGUACAUCCAAAUUGAAGCUAGUUAGUAUUAUGUUUAAGUGCUAGUUCAGAAAAGAAAGCGAUGGGAAAAACGCUCACUUGAAGUUCCACGGUAGUAAUAUGCGCUUCUUAUCCUAAUGCUUGUCGAGGAACUUCAAUAUAUUCUUCAAGGUCCGUUUUGGUUUAUCCUUUAGAUUAUCCUGGAAAUAAUUGACAUCAUGGUAUCCCAUCCUACGACAAGUUUGAAUCUCCAUCCUGCACAAUACAAAAUUAAAUAGGACUUAAGACAUCGCAAAUUGACUAGAAUGAGGAUUUUCAAGUUAGAGAAAUAUACUAAAGACUUACAGGACCCAGCAACUGAUCAGUGACUUGUCUAGUGCGUCUUGAUUGUAUGGUGAACAACAUCAUUAGUGGGUAACAUAACAAAAAUCAUUUAUAAUGUGCACAUUGUAAUUAACCUGAUGGUGUAAAAGAAAAUAUUAUAAUGCAUAUUGACAAUUAUCGCAGUAAUGAAGGCUCCAUCUUUCGUAUGCAGUCAUCAGUCGGGGGUGCGCCAGCCUAGAAGUUAGAACUCUUAAGUCUUCACACUGUAUAUUGAUCGCAGUAAUAUAGCGAAUAUCAUUUAUAAUGUGUAUAUUGUAAUCUGAUUUUGGAUUGCUUGGGGAAGCGACCCCUUAAACACUUAUGAGGCCCUUGCAAAGAAUCAACCAGCCUGACAAGCACAACACAGACCCAUAAAGCCCCAUUUAAUUUGUGCCACUCAGUUCUUGUUAUUUAGCCACAUACUAAAUAGUAUCAAUCAUGGAUAUGUAGACCUGCACAUCUAAUAUGGUAAAGUUAUAGUGAUAGUGUCAACUCUUAGUAUAUCUUCAUUAAUCUAGUAUAUGUAUAUAUAAAUGCAGUGAAGGACCCAGCAACUUGGAUGAGCCUGGGUGCCUUCAUUGUACAGCUCUACGUAUGGUGCCAAUCAAUAGCUAGGCAUCGAAUAAGCUAAGGAUUAGUAAUGGAUUUAGCAGAUGGUGAGCUCGGGCAGGUGCCUAUGGUUGCCGGGCCCUGAGUUCGCCACUCUAUAAAUGCACUAUCCUUAGUCUUAUAGGGCACAUCCAAUACCUCUCCAUAUAAUUUUAAAUAAAAAAUUUGUCAACUACAAAAAUUGAUAUAGAGUUUAUCUGCAUAUAUAUGAGGUCAUUUGAACUUCAAAAAUUCCAGAUUUCAAAAUUUGAGAUCUUAUAAUAAUUUUUUGGACUACUAAACAACAUCAAAUAAUUAAAAAAAUUAUUAACUAAAAUUUUUAGAUCUCGUCGAGCUAUACAAUUUUGAUAUAAAGUUUUUGAUAAUGGUCACCAUUUACAGGGCGAAUUGCCUCACGGUCCGCACCGAGAAAUCAUUUCUAGGGACGGAUUCAUUUGUAGCGGCGGCUGAUCACGUGGUACGCGCCUAGAAACUCAUUUCCAUGUGCGCAUCAGUCGCUACAGUGUGGCUCCAUCUUUGUUGGGCUGGUGGACCUAGAGACGCAUCCCUUUAAAAAAGAAGCGCGAGUACAAAACUUUUUAAUACAGGAGCAUCGUCCGUUACUCAAAUAGCAGGAUGCCAGGAUUAGGACCAGGUUCCUCUAGGACUAAACUAAACUUUAGUCUCUCUUAUUCACUAGAUUAAACUUUAAUCUUCUCUGUUUGGUUCUGGUUCUAGUGACUAAAGACUAUUAAAGUAAUUGAAAAAAAGAUAAAACUACCCCUAAUCAAUGCCUUAGGGACGUUGGCGGCAUGUCCAUGGCUGGACAGGCCUGCUCCGACGGCGGCGCAUCCAAGUCCGAGCGUGGCAAGAGCAGGGCGAGCUAUGGGGCGGUGGCGCGUCAACCAAGCAGGGUGAGCUGGGGGGUGGCACGGCGGCGGCAGUGGAGAACCGCACCAAUCGCGGCUGCUCUACGAGCUCUGCGCGCUCCAGCUAACCGUGCUCUGAGCAAAGGAUUGGAUCAGGAGGGGGGAUGGGGCAGUAACGAGGGGCAGAUCCCGCAACCUCUUGGAGACUAAGGGUUAAAGUCUAGGGACUAAAGUUUAACCUCCUUUAAUCACUAUAUUUGAUAGUUUAGGGACUAAAAGGACUAAACUUUAAUCCUAAACUUUAGCGGCCCAAACCAAACAGGACCUUACAACUCCACUGAAUUGCAAGCCUCAAGGAGAGCUACAGCCGCCACCUAUUUAUAUAAACUCAUAUAGCUUGGUUCGAAUCACAACAUAUUAUUCUACGAUCGAAUUAGAGACAAACCUCGUUCGAAAGAAAACAAAACCAUGAUUCCAGUUUGGCCGCUGCUACUUCUAUUUUCUAUUUCUUCUCCAAUUGCUGAUGCAACAAGAAGCUCGCUGAUGAAGUCCAACGCCGUCUGCUCCGGCCAGAGAGGUAACUACAAGAAAAUUUGUUUGUCAUCUCAAGUCACAAACAGAAGAACUGAUGAGUAAACCAUGUUCGUUUUGAAAGAAAGUGCUGAUGAAAUGAAACACUGUGUGUUGAGCACAAUAGAUUCUUAAAGACAUUAUACUAGUUUGUAAGCACUAACGGAAAUCUAAUGAGACACCCUGUGCUAACUUGGCAGUGAGCAUUCCAUCCUCUAGCGGCGCUUGGCUGCCGCUGAACCACCGCCAUGGCCCGUGCUCGCCGUCUCCUUCCUCGGAGAGGAUACCGUCCACGGCCGACGUGCUCCUCAGCGGCCGACUCCGUGCCGACAGCAUCCGGAGGCGCUUGAACGGCAGUGCUGCCGCCGCAGAGCGCAGCGACGUCGUCACCGUUCCGACCACUCUAGGCACCUCCCUGGGCAACUACGAGUACGUGGUCACCGUGGGCCUCGGCACGCCGGCAGUCACCCAGACGGUGAUCAUGGACACCGGCAGCGACGUCUCGUGGGUGCAGUGCCGCCCGUGCCCCGUCCCGGCGCCGUGCCACGUCCAGAAGGACCCAGUGUUCGACCCGGCCGGGUCGGCCACGUACUCUGCCUUCUCCUGCAGCUCGACGGCGUGCCUGGGCCUUGGCCGACGCCGUGCGGCCUCCAAUGGCUGCUCCGGGUCGUCGCCGUGCCAGUACAUCGUGAAGUAUGGCGCCGGCUCCAACAGCACCGGGACGUACAGCUCCGACAAGCUGACGCUGACCCCGGCGUACGCCGUCGACGGGUUCCGGUUCGGCUGCAGCCACGCCGACCCACUGUUCAGCGACCUCACCGACGGGCUCAUCGCCCUCGGCGGCGGCUCGCUGUCGCUCGUGUCGCAGAUGGCGGAGAAGGCCUUCUCUUACUGCCUCCCGCCGACGGCGAGUCACUCCGGGUUCUUGACGCUCGGUGUGCCGCGCGUCUCCUCCUCCAGGUUCGUGGUGACGCCCAUGCAUAGCAUCGGCAACAUCAAGACGUACUACGGCGUGCUCCUGCAGGGCAUCACGGUGGCCGGGAGGCGGCUCGGCAUUCCGCCGUCGGUAUUCGCCGCCGGCUCGGUUGUCGACUCGGGCACGGUGGUCACGGAGCUGCCGCUGACGGCGUACCGCGCGCUGCAGGCGGCGUUCACGAAGGAGAUGAGGAUGUACCCGCAGGUGGCUCCGAAGAACGGUUUCGACACGUGCUUCAACCUGACCACCGGCGGCGAGGUCAAGCUGCCGAGCGUUGCCCUGGUGUUCGACCGGGGCGCCACCGUGGAGCUCGACCCGUCUGGGAUCAUCUUCGACGGCUGCCUCGCGUUCGCCUCCACUGGAGACGACACCUCCUUUGGGAUCAUCGGCAAUGUGCAGCAGAGGACGUUCGAGGUGCUGUACGACAUCGCCGGCCAGGCCGUGGGAUUCCGCCGCGGCGCUUGCUGAGCUUGAGCGUGCUUGGUUGACCGAUCAAGAAUAAUGAAUUUCUGAGCAGAGCAUGUUGUUAAGUUGUAACCACACUUUGCUACUAUUUCCUAAGUAUUGUGUCAUCUAUAAUUCUAUAUAAAAAAUGGCCAACCCUCCAAUUUAUCAAAGUUUCUAAGUUUGAGCAAAAAAAUAUAGAAAAAUAUGUUAGCAUAUCUACACUACCAAACUGUUAUAAAACACGUCAUCAAUGGUUGGAUCUUCUAAAGACAAGACAUAAGUAUGAGGGACUAUUCUAGAGACCAUCAGACCAUUUAACUUUAGGCUCUCCAUGGUAACUUUAGGCUGACUUGAUUAAUGUAUGACGUCAAACUAAGCUCCUUUUAUCAAUACACUAAGUAAGGCACAACAGAGAUGUAGAUAUUCGAGUUAAGUCAAUGUAUUACCGACAGUCAACUUAAUAAAAAUCCCUAAAAGAUUUAAACAAACAACUAAUACGAAAAAUUUAAUCACACUGAAAUUAGUUAAGGACCUAAAAUGCAACUCUAUAUAGAGGUAGUUUCUUUGAUAUAGAAAUAUUAGUAAACAAAUAAAUAUUAAUUAUACAAGCAUGCUUUAAUGCAAAAGGAUUCUGCAAAAGCUUCGCCCUUCGGCCGUCUCUAAAAGAAUUGUAGAUUUUUUCAAUAAAACUAAAUAAAAAUCCAGUUAAAUAAGAAGACAAGAAACAUCCAAAAGGUUUAUGAAAGGUCGAUGUGCAAUUGCAUCAGCCAGUAGCUAGAUGUCUUGUUAUGGUUCGGUACCUAACGUAUAAUUGUACUACUACUAAUCGGAACCUUCUUCUAUAGCCUCCUUCUUUUGUAGCCUCCAUUGUCAAUCUUCACGAGACAUGUUAGGAAAAAAAAUAACUCCUACAAAUUCUCACAGAAGUCAUAAACAUUUAGCCAUUAACCCGCUAGGCUAUAUGAAUGUUGUGUCAAGGGAAUGAGAAGGGGUAAUUAAAUAUUUUUUAUUAUUAGCUAUAGGCUUAAGUUUUUUACUAUUUUUUUUUACUUUUGAUGCCGUCAAAACUUUUAGUCCCAUGUGAGAAUACGGUGGACGGACUAAAUGAAUUUAAUUAUUGACUUUAAAUUUGGGUUUGAUUACAAUUUCCCUUUAAAUCAUGCAAAAUAUUGUGCCAUCUAUUCAGCUAGUUGCUAAUAAACAAGCAAGCAAACUACUAAUUUUGUUUGAGGGGAAAUAGUCGAGCAUCAUUCAAGAUCCACGUAAAAAUACAUUGGUGACAUCAGUCGUCUUGUGCAUGGUCAUGAAGGUGUAAUGACACAACUACAUUGGUGAACUCAUGCACCAUUGCUGCGAUGGAUAUUUUUCUUUCCUUCCAUUGAUUUACAAACUAAGAAGAUACAGUGCAACGAGACAACUAGGAAGAUGAGAUUCCACCACCAUAGUCCUCAUGUGCAUCAACAGAUUUCGGAAUAGGCUGACUGGGAUAUAAAGAAGGGACAGAGAAGUGCAGCAGGCAGUAUCCAGCUACAGAAACAAAAGGACCAGAUAAGAUGCUCCCAGCAAUAACCUAACCGGAGAUCGAGCUGAUGCUGAUACCGUAACUAGAAUUUGCUCAUAAUAAAAGACUAUCGACUUCCUCUCCACAACUUUACAGUUGUCUUACACAUGACAAAAGCUCCUGCAUUACAUACAGCUGACAAAAAGUUGCAUAGCUCCAAUAAUAUAACGUGAAUCAGGUUCGUGGCCCUGUACGUCCUUGUUGCUUUGGCAAACAUCGGAAAAGAAAAGAAAACAUGGAACAAAUACCGAAGACAAAGACGGAUAAGAAGAAUAAAAACAAAGACUGCUAUCUCAUCACGUACGUGAUGAUCAGCAAGAGCACAUCUCCACAUGCCAAGAGCCCUCUAAACCUGCGACGCCGUCUCUUGAUCCACACAUGCAUCGACAAUCCAUCGAUCCAUCUCAACGUACUUGACACCAAAGCAAAACAAGUUUACAUGGCAUGCACGCGAUGCCAUUCGACGGACGAUUGACGACGACAAUGACCGAUAUGCAUGCAGGGCAUACUAGCCCACGACUCAGCAUUAGUCCCAGUUGCUAGACCUCAAAGCUCUCCAAUACUCAACUGGGAUAAAAUUUUCAAGACGAAGGGGGGUUUUUAAUCCCGGGUUACUCAACCGGGACUAAAUACCCCCUUUAGUCCCAAUUGGUGUUACCAACCGGGACAAAAAACUUUUAAAAAAAAUUUAAAACAAAAGCCCACACCCCACAUCGGCCGCCCGACGGCCGCCCAUGCCGGCUUCGCUCCGCCUCCGCUCCGCCCCAUGCCGCUGGGCCCGCCCGGCCUUGCCCAGCUCGCUACCGCUCCUCACUGCCAGUGAGGAGCGAGCAGAGGAGGAAGGGGAGGGGCAGCAGAGGGGAAAGGGGUGGGAGAGGAAGAGAAGGAGGGGAGGGGAGGGGGCGGGAGAGGAAGAGAAGGAGAGGAGGGAGAGGCUCCGGCGCGAGGAAGAUAAGAAAGACCUGUGCGCGAGAGGAAGAGGAGGAGGUAGAGAAGAAAGACCUGCGCGCGAAGAAGAUAAGAAAGACCUGUGCGCACCCUUGUGUUUGUCCCGGUUGGUGUUUCCAACCGGAACAAAAGCUCCCCUUUUGUCCCGGUUGGAAACACUAACCGGGAUAAAAGGGGAGGGCGUUGGUGCGAUAUUUUCUAUCCGUUACAAGCGGGACUAAAGGGGGAUUUUAGUCCUGGUUGGUAUUUAUAUCCGGGACUAAAGCUUCCUCCCCCCACCCCCUUACGGUGGCUUUCGGUGGCAAUUUUUUAUCCAGGACUAAAGCUAGUUUAGUCACCUGGCACAAUGUUAACCGGGACAAAAAGGGUAGAUGGAAGGUCAGUUCUCUACUAUUGUAGUAUAAUUCAGAGGGGGCUCAGUUGGAUUAGUCGCCGCCCUACACUACCGGCACUUACAAAGACGAAAGCAAGAUCAUUUUACUUUUUUAUUAAUCUAUUCUAAAAUGAUUUGUUUUUAAGGAUGGGGGAACAUAUAUAUUGCAUUGAUAUUUUUUUUCUUGCAAAAUAGCCGCCAGUCCUCCCCCAAGCCGAAGCGCCUCUUCCUCUCCCCGACCUCGAGCGGUUGUAUUUUUUUCAUGCAAAUAUAAUUAUUGUAUAAAAGAAAAUGUAAUAAUAAAUGUGGUGUUUAAAAUUUAUGGAUUGCAAUUUUCAUGAAUAAUUAAUAUCUAUUGAUAUGUAUAAAUUCAUAAAUAAUUUUUAAUUGCAAGUAUUACAAUUUUGCAUAUUAAGAACGAUGAACAACGAUGAGAACAGUGGGAGGUACACGAUGAACCCUUAAGACGUAAGUCUCUUAUAAACUGUCGUGUGCUAACUUCUUAAUGGUAAUAUAUCCUAAUUUUCAUUUACUGUAUACCUGCAGAUGCUUACCAUCAACAGUAACUAUAGCAAGAUUGAAGGCAAACAAAUCGACAACAUUUGUACGGAUAUGGUGAGGUUCAUCCUACGCGAGAUUUGUUAUGAGGAUGGAGCAUUCUUUGAUAAAGAUGGCGUGUUGAUGGCGGACAAAUGCACAAAUCUUCGUUGAAUUUUUAAUAAUGUGAAUUAUAUAUUAUAUACAAUGCAGUUUUGAAUAAUGUGAAUUAUUUAUUAUUCAAGUUUGUUGUUAUGUGGGAAAUAAAAAUUAUAAAUAACUCACAGGAAAUAAUAUAUUGAAUGGAAAAAUUACAUAUUCCUGACGGGUGGCAUAAGCACCCGCUAGCACAGAAACAAUAUGUGCUGGCGGGUGGCUAACGUCGCCCGCCAGCACAGACGGCAUCUGUGCUUGCUCAAGGUUGCUAGCGGGUGCGAUGUCCAUCAGCACAAACAUGUUCUAGCCACCGGCACAAAUGCUUCCUGGCGCGGUGAAUUUUUAAUUAGUGCAGCCUUUUCAGCAGAUUCUCCGUGUUAAAGCAUAGCUCCAAUAAUAUAAUGUGAAUCAGGUUCGUGGCCCUGUACGUCCUUGCUUUAGCAAACAUCGGAAAAGAAAAGGAAAAAUGGAACAGAUACCAAAGACAAAGACGGAGAAGAAGAAUAAAAACAAAGACUGCUAGCUCAUCACGUACGUGAUGAUAUGAUGCCAAGAGGCCUCUAAACCUGCGACGCCGUCUCUUGAUCCACACAUGCAUCGACAAUCCAUCGAUCCAUCUCAACGUACUUGACACCAAAGCAAAACAAGUUUACUUGGCAUGCACGCGAUGCCAUUCGACGGACGAUUGACGACGACGGUGACCUUGCACACUGGCCUAUAUAUGCGUGCAGGGCAUACAUGGUAGCUAGCAUCCCUGAAAACCCUCAAGCUUGUAGAACGAUGGGUCUCCCCAGCUGCCAAGUAGUAGAAAUUAACUCGUACAUCGGAAACCUAACGUCAUCCUACACGGAGAAGAGCAAUGAGCUCAGCAUGGUGGCCGCCUCCGUCAUCAUGUUCGUCCUCGUCGGCCUCUUCUUCAACCUCAACCUCUUCAGCGGCAUCUCCGACAUCAGCGCCAUCCUCGACCCCAAAGUCCGCCUCGUCCUCACCUCGGCGCUCUCCCUCUUCCUCCCCGUCAUGUCUUACCUCUUCUCCGAGGCCAAGAACACCGGGCACUUGCAGAGCUCCACCACUGCUGGGAGCACUCAGGUGGCUGACCUCCCGCUGAGGGCAGGGCUGAUCCUGGCAUGGAUGCUCCUGGUGGAGCUCCUCCGCAAGAAGGUGGAUGAGAUCCGCAUGCGCGGGUUCUCAGGCACCAUCCAGCGCGCCGGCCGAGUUGUUUGGCUGGGAAGCCUCGUCUUCUUCAACAUCGAGAGCGCUGGCCGGAAGGCGGUGUUCAGCAUACUCUGGAUCCUUUGUGCCACCAAGGUGUUGCAAAGAAUCGCCUUCACCGAGGUGGGGAAGCGUUCAUACGCACAUGGCAAGAACGCCCGGCUCAUCAGCUCCUACAUGUCCCAGAUGCUAGAAUGGGAGCCGCCUCAAGAUGCCCACCUGCAGCAGGAGGAUGACAACGACACGUUGAUCAAGACGUGCAAUUACAUUGUCAUGGGCGAAGAGAAGCUGGUGGAUAUUGAGCCCACUGCAGAUGGUUACAAGCUGGGAAAGGCCAAGUCCCCAGGUUAUGAUAGCAUCGUCAAAUUGCUGGAAGAAAAUGAUAGCAUCAUCACUGUACGUAAAGUUUGGGAGCUCGAUGACAAGGACAAGUUCUUCUCCCUUCAGCAAAUUCAAAGCUUGAAGAGAAUCUGCCUCUCAUUUGCUCUCUUCAAGCUGCUCCGUCGAAGGUUCGAGCACCUGCCGGCGGUGACCAAAGAAGAAGCUCGCAACUCCCAGAACCUUAUCUUGAAAGGCCUAUACAACAAAGGCCAAACCAGCUCGUCGGCGGAAGCAGUGUUCCAAGUUCUGAAUGAUGAGGUCAACUUCCUUAGUGAGUAUUAUCACUCUGUUGUCCCAGUGGUUCUUGCAAGCCCCUUCUUCCUCUUCAUAAACUACUUUCUUGUCAACAUAGUCGUAGCUUUCUUGUGCUUCAUGACAGUUAUUCUCUGUGGCAAUGGAGAUGUCAGGUACGCACUCCACAGCCUCGGUGCAGAUAACUACACCUUACAAUAUGGUGUUGGCAAUAUAGCCAUAUGCCUUCUGCUCAAAGCCACAAGUUCACCUUCAGCCUUCUUUUCCAUAGUAGACCUUUCCAUCACUAUCCUUCUAUUCAUAAUCUUCUUUUAUGAGGAAAUAUGGGAGUUCUUUGUUUUCCUACUCUCCAACUGGUUCAUGGUAUCAUUGGUCUAUAACUACAUCGCAAAACCAAGUUGGCUGAAGAGGUCCACCUUUCGGGGGGCCUUGUAUUGGGGGGGCUUCAGUAUUAUCAUGUGGCUGCGGACCAAGAUGAGUCAUGCUGACCUUAGGAUGAAGCAAUUUUCUGUGUUGAACCUUCGUUGGCCACCCAAGUUACCUCUCUUCGCCACAUUCACCAGCAUGGCGGUAAAAACAGUGGUGGUGCCAAGUAGUGUGAAAGAAUCCAUCAUGAAGUACCUUGCCAACCAGCAUGACGAUCCCCAAGCAAACCCUCUUACCAAUGGCAUGUCCACACUACAUAAUAGGAACAACAACCUUUAUUGCCAGGACCUCUCAUGGGCAUGCAGAAGCAAUAGUGUUGCUGAGGUGAUCCUCACGUGGCACAUUGCCACCAGCAUCAUGGAGGUCAAGUGUGACACCCCUCAGAAUGGCGAGGACAUAAGCAGGAGGAAGGUAGCCUUUAGGCUGUCCAAAUACUGUGCUUACUUGGUGGCUUUCCACCCGGAGCUUCUGCCUGACAAUCCAGAAAAGGUCGAGUGUGUCUUUGAGGACAUGAAAGCGGAGUUGAAGGCCAUGCUAGGGUGUCAGGACUACUAUCUCUCGUCGCAGCACAAACGAGUCCAGAAGAUCAUGGACGAGAAAACCACACCCCUAAGGCAAAACCAACCUUCUUCAACUGCAGGCCAGAGUGAUACUGACAAAAUAAAAGUUGCACAAGACGGUGUAAAUCUUGCAAGGUCACUAAUGACAAAAACUAACAAGUGGCAGGUGUUAGCGGACGUGUGGACGGAGAUCAUCAUAUACUUGGCCCCGUCGAGCGACGAGGAGCGUGUGAAGGGGCAUGAGGAGGCCCUGGUGCAAGGAGGUGAGUUCAUCACCGUGCUCUGGGCACUGACCACCCACAUCGGCAUAUCUAGGCCCAGCAAAUCGGAGAUAAAUGUUGGCCAUUCUGCAGCUUGAGGGAUCGAGAAGACACGGGCCUGAGUGUGCAUGGCGUUUCCAUAUGUGCUUUGCCUUUGCAUUGCAGCCACCUUGAUAUUGUUUGCUCUGUUUACGUGUGCAAUUUUUUCUUGGCGUGCUUUCAUGGAGAGUUUGUUUUGUUUGAUCUCAGCUACUUCCACAGCGAGCGGAUGUGUGUGUGUGUGCAGGAGGAUUUGUAAUUAGCAUCAAGUUUUCAUAUGAACUGUGAGAGCAUUUCACCUAAUCGCUUAUCUGCUUUGCAAGCUUCUGCCUGGACUUUUGAGUUUUGAUUCUAUUUCGUUUUGCAGAUUAAUACCUUACCGAUGAAGCGAUGACAUUUAUUUAAUAUCGUAAUCCGAACUGUAGUUGAAUGACGUGCAUCCAAAGUAGAAAUAUAUUUCUUUGUUUUGGUAAUUGUACUGAAUUUGCUUGCAUAAUAUAUGCACUAUGCCUAGAUAAAGAGGAUGGAUGGCUCAGGCCAAAGGGACUUCGGCUUCGCGCUACAGUAACGCACACUAUUUAGCACUGUGCGUUAUUGUAGCACGAAAUCGGAACAGAUACCAAAAUCUCAAAAUGAAUUGGGAAGGAGGUGAAUCCAAAAAAUUGGCUCCCCAUGGUUUCAGCUCCACUUGCUACAGUUGCGAAGUCAAAGGCCCCCUAAGCCAUACCAAAUGAGUCCUUACGACCCCUUACUCAUUUCAUUCACAUAUAUCACUUCCCAUGUUGUUGGACAACAAUGGGAUGGCACCUUGAACUAGUAAGACACAAUAAGAACCACAAGUAUACGUCAUCUACUACUAUUUUUGGAACCAAGUUGUGCAUUACCCCCUCCCAACCAUUGAUAACACAUCCUUGGCUAAAUUAAGCCAACCAAAGACAACCACAAAACUUCUUAUAAAUACGGACCACUUACCCACAUUCCCAAAUCACCUCCACAUUCAACACCUCCUCUCCUCCACCACUGACCAAUAACCCCGGCUGCCGCCGCCGCCGCAACCUUCACAGCAGCCGGGGGCAACCAUGGGUGCCUGUGCAACCAAGCCCAAGACGCUAGAGGGGAAGGCCCCCGCCGAGGCCCCCAUCUCCACACCCAAGGUUACACCCGAGACCACCGUCCCCACCGAGGUGAUGACGAUGCAUUCUGAAACUCAAUUUAUAAACAAAUUUUGCUCGAUCACUAUGCAUGCCUUCAAUUUUGUUUCCUGAAGUGAUGAACAUUCGAACUCGCUGUAUAUUAUCAAUUUGAUGAGCAGGUUGCGGCUGAACAUGUGGUUGAGAAGGUGGUGGAGGAGGCCAAGGAGGAGCCGGCGGCGGCAGCGGUAACAGAGCCGCCUGCCACCGCCGAGCCCGAGCAGAAGGCUGAGGCAACACCAGAGGCGAUCGUCGAGCCCGAGCACAAGGAGGAGCAAGUCUUGGAGAAGAUCGUUGAGGAGGAUCAGAAGCCUGCAGCCCCUGUCGAGGAGAAGACCGCCGCUGCCAUUGAGGUGGCGGAGGAGCCCACGGAGGUGAAGAAGGACGCCGGGGAGGAAGAGGAGGAGAAGCCGACGCAGAGCUGACCGACUGUCCAUGGCGUCAGUUGGCUCCUGCCUGAAAUCUCUAGAGUCGUCGGCUUAUAUAUAGCUCGGGAGAGAGAUCCACUGCGUGUAACAUUCUUUGAUGCCUCCCGUUUUUCCUCCACGGGGUUCUGAUAAACGAUAUUAUUGGGCUUAUUAUUGAACAUCUUGGUCCCUAAUAUUAUAGUUUGCCUUCAACUAUAUAUUCCUUGAUAAUAAUCCAGGAUAUCACACAUUCAUAUGCUGAAAUUUUCCGAUCCCCAAAGUUUGAACGCAAAUUCAAAUGCUCAAAACAAUGCACCUAUAGGACAAUGUGGUCGAGAAUCGAGACUGAUGCGUAGUUUCAAAUUCAUAACAUACAGCGAGUUCGAAUGUUCAAUCAAUGGAGGUCAAGGCGGCACAGAGACGAACCGUUCCGAUCCCGCCCGUGUGACGAUGCAUCAUCCAUGGACCAUAUGGCCAUGGCCUCCCCUCCGUCACCGGCGUUCGACGGCGCAUCCGCGGCCUGUGCCCAUGGCCCUGGCCUCCGAUCCGUCACCGGCGUCCUCGCGCGGGCAGCGAAGGCGUGGAGCACUGGAGCCAUCACCGCCGGCCGGCCGUAGCGUGCACCACCGAUGCACGUCGUUCGGGUUGAUGAUGAGAACCGUGGAGGCCUUGCUCGAGCCCAUGGGCCGAACUGUGGAGGGAUUCUUCGACGGGCCUAGUGCGUUUGGGCCAGCACUCUGUUGGGCUAUCGGCCCAAAAGUUCCACGGGAAGAAGAAAGGGAGGAGGGCACGCACUCCCCCCACCCCCAUCUCUCUUCUCCAUCGGAAUCGAGGGCGGCCGCCGGAAGACGAUCUGCAGCGAAGCGAAGGGAGAAAUCGAGGAAGAAGCGAAGAUGAUCUACCGCAACUGGUCGCUGCUCUCCUCGACGGUCGUCAUCUGGGGCGGCGUCGCCACCGCCGGCCUCGCCGGGAUCUUCCUCUUCGGCGGCAAGGUACUAACCCUCGAUCCCCUUCCUGUAGCUACGGAUUCCAUCCCAGAUCGCCCGUGGGACUGCGUAUUCGUCCGUUUCCGCCCCCGCAUCUGCGUGGUUUCUGUACGAUGUUUUGGUUGCUCCUGCGCCUGUGCUCGUUAGGUUGGUGGUGGUAUGAACAUUGGAUCCGGUUGAUGCGUCGGUGGGGGAUUCGCGUCUGGUGACCAUUGCGAACCCGGGAUUCGGGGCGGAUUUUGGGUGCGAUGCGAUAGAGCUGUUCUCUGCAGGGUCAGAUUCCUCUGUUUAGCUUAGGGCGGCCAGCAAGUCCUGAUUCGAGGCAGAUGUUAUGUGGUUUUAGGUUGCUACAUGCCGGUCAGGUCAAUGUGUUCUUGAUCUUCCUGCCAUGCUUUGUUGUAUGUUCUUGCCUGAGAUUUUUUUUUUCUUGUAAGCCCUGUUGUAUGUUAAUCUCAAAAAAUCCCUUGCUGUACUGAGAUUUUUCUUACUGGGUAGGGCAAUAGGAGAUUGGAGGCCUGUUGGGACAUUCUUUAGUUUUAAGGAUUUUAGCAUGCUGGAUUAGAUUCUGGUGUGACUUGCAAGAGUUGAUGCUGAUGGUUGGGGGUGUACUCUGACACUUAUUCGUUGAUUUCGUGGGAGAUUGGACAAUGCUCUACGUGCAUAAGUCAUCGAAAAAUUGAGUCAUCUUGAUGUGUUACAGUUCACCUAUGUUGGUCAAUUCAUAAGUUCAUAUACUCAGGUGAUGUUCUUUCAUUGCAUUUUUGUACUUGUUGGAUGCGUUAGUGGGCGUUCGACACAUCCAGUUUUGUUUUGGGUACUAGUAUAGCUGUAGAGUAUAAAGAAGCCUUACAUGUGUGUAUUUUUGGAAGAUUAGGUGCUCAAUGUUUUUUUGGCUUCCAAGUUUCCCUAUUGUUUUAAUUUCCAGCAGAAAAGGCUCAGUUUGCCUAUUUGUAAAAACACAGUAACCGAUUAAUACGUUCUUGAAUGGAGUAGCCAGCAGUGUGGGUAGAACUAUGGAUGCAUUUUGAAAUCAUGAACUGUCAAACUGAGUAUUAGAACAGGUAUCCUAAAGCACUGUACAGUCUUGAUGUCUCCAAUUAAGAUGAUACUUAUGUAUUCUGCUGAUUUGCUGUAGGAGACGAUGACUUUCAUAAAUAUGAUUGUGGAUGGAAUGAAAGAUUGCCAUAUUGACUAAGAUUUUUGAGUUUUGAUGUUGGUAGUUUUGUGCACGUAGGGAUUCAGUUGAUAAUUGGUCAUAGAACUGAGUUAUAUACCGAGUGGUAGGUCUGUUGAUGCGUCAUGCAUGAGAUCAUCCAAUACUUGUGUAGCAAGAAGAUUACUGAAUACUCACUCCACUUCUUCAUUACUUUAUAGGUAAAUUAAUCUUGUUUAUAUUCUAAGAUUUUCAACAUAGUAACUUGGUCGGUUUCCCAUGUCCACCAACUUGUCCAAGCUGGUUUAUUUGGAUGCCUAACCAGCAUUUAAUUAUUUUUCCGCAUUGCUUCAAGCGACUCUUAACAUUGUACACCAGUUCGAUGAGAAAGAAAAAUGCAACUGUGUCAGAUUGCUGAUAUGCAUGUCUUGUAACCUUGAUUGAGAUAGCAGCCUUUUAUUAGGCUUCAUUUGUGUUUAUAUUGGUGCUAGCAGGUAUCUUAAAACAUAUGGGUUUCUCUUCCCACGAUUGGUUAUGAUAUAACUAUAUUGGUUCACAUGUUUGCAGGAGAAAUUCCAGGACUACCUUUGCCGUGAGGGUGAGAGGCUUAGGCGGCAGGACAGAGCCGCGAUGGGCCGAAACUAGAGAGGAAGCCAAACCUGAUGGAUAUCAACGAUCGGAGCAACAUUUGAAUUUGACAAGAAAUCCGCCCCUCUACUAGAGCAAGCCCCCCUUCUAGAAUGGAAUCCUUCUGAAUUGCUUUCGCUUUCGUGAGCCGAACUCGCUCCGUAACAAUAAAUCUGACUGCACCCUGUGUAAAUCAUUGAAGAGCUAACGCUUUUGCCUUUUUGGCCCGUGGUUUGUCAAAGCUUGUGUGCUUGUUUGGCAUCGACUGGCUUGAUGCCCUGAAUAAAGGUUGAUGCAUUUGACGGGACAUCAUCACAAAUAUCUGGCCUCCUUGUGUUGUUCAAUUUGCUACCAAAGGCUUGUCUUUGACGCUUUGUGUGCUUGUCCAGGGUGGGCUAUUUGGCUAAUGUAUUCCUCCUAAUUGUGUUUAGCUACAUCUGAUCCUGUUAUAGCAGCAUAUUUCCUGCGAUUUAAGCCUUGUCGCUGUAUGAGCCCAAGGCGGUGAUCCAUGAGUGUAUCGUUGUAUCUUAUUCUUUGUGUACGUUGGGAUCGCCGAAACCUAAACACCCAUAAGCACCAUCCACAGCAUGAAAAACACUUUGACCUCGCAAGUUCUACAUCAAAUAUAAAAAGGCGCGGAGCCCUUCUAGCCUCGCGAGUUCCAAACCGAGAAGUAAAACUUAGUUACCGUCGAACAUCGUUAUCAGGUCUUAAGACUAACCUCGCAAGUUGCGCGUCAGUAGCAAGGAAAGCAGAACUCCUUCAACCUCGCACGCUGUUUGGAGGCACCUCUAAUAUCGGUUCCGAACACCGAGCUUUUAUCUUCUUACUCUUUACUCUUGAGGCUAGGUGUUCGUCUCGGAUGGUGGAUAAAGCCUCGAGGCUAGAUGACCAGCUCAAAAUGAAGAUGAAGUUUCGAGGUUAGAGGGCGGAAGGCGUGAGAAAUGUGACCACGUGGAAGAGUUCAAUUUGUACACGUUUCCUUCAAUGUAAGGCAUAUCUUAGGAUUAUAGUGGUUGAGAAAGGAUACUGUAAAAGGAAGUCCUACCACAUUGUAAAGGGGAUUAGUUUUUCCAAUUGCAAACAUUAUUCCCAUUAUAACUUGGAUCUAUUUGGUGUCAAAUUCCUUUGAGACCAACAGUGUAUCUUAAGUACUGUAAUGAUUUGCUUGCUGGUGAAGUGUUGCGUCUGCUGGAGCCUGUAGCAGGGAAGCAACUGAUAUUCCUCUGCUCAACUUGCAACUCUCUUGCGAGCCCGACAAGGUAGCGCGCGCGCGUGCACGGCGCGGCCCGUCGUUUUCUCGUGUGGCGGCCAACUCGAUCGUCUGCGCCCGCGCGGCCGUAGAAGACUACAACGGCGUGACGUCCUCCCCAGCCGGUGCACGGUCAGGCUCAGGCCUGUCUUGUCCGGCCGAAGCGGAGCUGAAUGAACCAAACCGGUGGGAGAGCGCGGCCGUCAGUUUGUAGAAUGGAAAAGCCUCGGCUGCCGACGCCCGCCGGAAGACGCAACUUGCCGAGCCACACCACCACCACCCGCCGAUUCAGGAGGAAACCGAGGUGCGCGGGCGCGCGUAUAAAACAGCCGGCACAUCGCCUUCCGCUCCGGCAUCACCCCUGCAGGCCCCAGCGCAAGCAAGCAAGUCAAAUGCUAACCGAGUGAGCUGCUAGCUAGUUCUUCACUAGUUUUUGCACGGCCGGAGAAGACGAUAGGUGGGGAUGGAAGCGAGGUACGUGAAGGUGGCGUCCCGGUACUUCAUCGUCGGCAACGGGAACGCCGGCGACGGCUGCGGUGGUGGUGGUGAUCAUCGCCGCCGCCACUUCCUCGACGCCUGCUUCCUGUGCAAGCGGGACAUCACCCCGGGCCGCCACAUCUUCAUGUACAAGUACGCACGAUGCUCCCCGACCAUCGAUCGAUCUGUGUGUAUUAUUCUUUGACGACUGACCUCAUGUCCGCUACGCGCGGGCGCAUGCAGGGGCGACGCGGCGUUCUGCAGCGACGAGUGCAGGCAGGACCAGAGGGCCAUGGACGCCGCGCUCAAGGCCGCCAGGCGCCGCCAACGCUACCUCCAGCGCAGCGCGUCCCUGCCGGUGCCUUCGUCGGCCGCGGCGGCGGCGAUGCCCCGGAGGCCGACCGUCGCGGGCCUCGCCGCCCACGCCCCCGUCCUCUCCGGCUAGAGCUAGCUCCUCGCGGUCGCCGAUCCAUGCUGGGGGGAUACGAAGAUGUGCGUGCUUGAGUUCGUCGUGCUCGUGUGCCCCGGCGCCCGCUUGAUCGGUCUGGGCAAUUUUCGUGGCCUGCUGGUCCGGCGCCGGAGAAGAUGCACGCUGGCACACGGAGAGAUAGCAGAUAUUGCGGACAAGUUUACAGUUGCAUGAUAUGCCCGAUGCAAAAAAAGCUACAGUAGCAAAUUAUUAGAUGCAUCAUCUCCUCGCCGGUUCACAAGUACCUAGAGACAGUACUGCUAGCUAGGAAAAAAAUAAAUUAAAUAAUAAUGUAAUAACCAUCUGUUCGAUCCGUAGAACAUGUAAUAGCUAUCAGUACUUGCACUUAUCACUAGCAGAGAAGAGACUUUCGUCCAACAUUUUUAGCCCGGUCAUUUUUUGACUUUAGUCCUCCCGGUCAUUUUUUGACUUGGGACUAAACAUCCUUUAGUCCCGGGUCAAAUGGCCACCACCGACGACGGGAGCUUUAGUCGCGGUCAGUAAUAUCAACCCUCCUCCUCUCCCUUUCUUCCAGGCAGGCGGCAUGGCGCUGGCGGACUCAAGCCUGGCGGGCGAGAUUGAGGAGGUGGUGUGGUGAUCGAGGUGGAGCUGCAAGGGCAGCGGCACGAGCAGGCAAGAUGGUGGGGGUAGCCUUUUUUUUUAUUUUUUUAACCUUUGGUCUUUAGUCCUGAGUGAAUGAUCCGGAACUAAAGAGAGGGAUUUUUGGUCCCGAAUAGUUAGUCCCGAUUGGUUUUUCGGAAGCUAUGAGGCUUACCAACCUGGACUAAAACUCGGUUUUCCACUAGCUCCGAUGCCUCAAAGAGAUCCUCGACACCUUCACGGCCGCCACCUAGGGUUGAAAACGGACGGGUAAAAUACCAUCCCGACCCGCCCCGUUUUCCACAUUGUACCCGCCUGCUUUUGUUUUUUCGGAAAAAUCCGGGUUCAGGACGGGUCACGGAUUGACGGGUUGCGGGAGCGGGAUGGAAACGGGUGAGGCUCUAUCCCGGUCGAAUUCUUAGGAUCCCGUAUUUGAUCGGGAUGGACCCGGAUUUAACCUGAAUUUGACCCAGAUUUUGAGCCCAUGAGAAAAAACAGCCCAACAUCCCAACAAUUAACCCUAACCGAGUUAGUGAGUCACCACCCCACCCGGCCACCCCCACCCGUGCCACCAUCCCCUCUCAGUCCGACUCCCACUGUCCGCCUGUCCCGCUCAACCACUCAGGCCGCGCCGCCACCCCUUCUCCUCCGCCACCGGCCGGCCCGCCGCGGCGUCCUCAUCUGUCGUGCCACCAAAGGCGCCCCCAUGCCGCUCCCACUCCUAACCGUCGCCGCCCGGGCCCAGUUGCCCGUGCGCUCCGCGUCACCCCCCUCGCCCAGUCGCCCACCACCCUGCCCAGCGGCCUCCUCGCACCCACGCCGGCAGCCCGGCACCGACACGCCGCCUCCCCGGUCUCCAGCUCUCCACCUUGUGCCCACGUCGGCUCCCCACCUCCCUGCUUGGCGCCCACACCGCCGGUUGCCCGGCUCCAGCACGUGUCGUCGUCUCCCGGCAUCUCCAUCCUCCGAAGAUGUCACGCGCCGCCGUCUCCCGCCAUCCUCCCUUGUUUUGUGCUGUGCUGUGUGACUGUUGUUCACUGGCCGAAUGAAGUAGCCAGUGAAGUGAUGUGUGAUGAGGGUUCUUGGGCCACUUGCUGUUGGCCGAAUGUUUUGUGCUGUGUGACUGUUGUACACAUCAGUUGCCUGUUGUUCACUUGCAUGUUGGCCGAAUGUUUUGUGUUGUGUGACUGGUGCGUCCCAACUAAAGUUUUCGGUUACUGUCCGUUUUUAUCGAGUUUCCAGUCGUAGUGGUUCAUUUCCAUACACUUGUAUAACCCGCUCCGUUUCCGCUCUCGGCUGUUCUGCUCCUGCUCCCGACGAUGAAGGAAAUGGGAGAGGGGUUUUCCCGCCCGUUUCCAUCCGUUUUCAUUGCUACCGCCACCGGCCUCCACAUCAACUUCCACAAAAGUACCUUUGUGCCGAUCCAUGUGGAGCCGGCGGCCGCACUGGAGCUCGCCGCCAUCCUGGGAUGCCCUGUGGCCGGCUUCUCCCAAACUUAUUUGGGGCUGCCGCUCUCCACAGGGAAGGUCCCCGCGUCGGUGCUGGAUGCGCUUGCUAUCAAAGUGGAGCGCACGCUGCCGGGGUGGCGCACCUCUCUCCUAACUCCGGCGGGGCGCCUCAACCUAGCCAGCGCGAUGCUGAUGGCGCAGCCUCUCUCCGCCAUGGCUCAUGCCGCUCCCCGUUUCCACCCUGGACAAGCUCGACCGGCCUCACAAAGGCCUGUUCUGGAAAGGCGCCGCCAAGUGCUCGGGUAGCGACUCCCUGGUUGCAUGGCAGUAGGCGUGCCGUGAAGCGCCUACAGCCGUUCUGGGCGCGCGGGCACGCACCGCCGGGGUCUGCCGGGAAAGCGGCGGCACCUGUUCUGCCCCUCCCACUCUCUGGUACUGAGGUCAUGGAGCCUCCUUUUGCACUGUUGUUGCUUCUUUGAGAAAUGGUAUUUCAAUUUAAGUAGCCACGAAGACGAUAGCUAUAUGGGCCAAUAUGCGGUUCAGUAAAUAGGCCAGCGUCGCGAUGAUUACCAUCAAGUGGGCCUAGGUCCACCGCUGCGUGGCCAUCAUAUUGCCGUGGCCUGGAACAGCCGAGCGAGGGAGGUGAAGGCCAAUUCAUGGGCCGUCGUCGCGUAAUUUCCGAGCUGCUUUUCGAAUUCCGAUGAGUCAAUAAGUUGGUGAGGAUCAGUGAUGAGUCUCCUUCGUCACUGUACAUUGGCUCAUAAGAAGAACUGAUGAACCAAGCAAACAUUAUUAUGUACACAACAGUCCACUCCUCACACACAUCUCCUUCACCGCCCGGAAAGGAUCCGAGUUGGGGGAAAUCAAACAAGAAAUCUCUCAACAAGAACAUGCCAACGUACAAACACACACUCGGAUGCAAGAAACAAGAGUAUCAAAAAGCUGGCUGCACAGUACACUGAAGCACAAACGAAACAGCCAAAUGCAUAUCCAGUUUUGAUUUUUUUUCCCUUUCUUCCCUCAAGGUCCUGGAGUGGAUUGCUUGGUCUGUGGCGGCGGCCGGGCUACGCCGAUGUGGGUGGUCAACGCCCAAAGCACGGUGAUGAACUCGCCUCCCUGCACCAGCACCUCCUCGUGCCCCUUCACGCGCUCCUCGUCGUUCGACGGCGCGACGUAGACGAUGAGCUCCGUCCACACGUCGGCCAGGAGCUUCCACACUGCUUCAGGAUCAACCUCGUCCAUUAGCAGCUUCCCUAGCUUUGCGCCGUUCAGUACAACUUUGCUCCCAUCACUCUUGCCUGCUGCGGCUUCCGUUUUCUUGUUGUCUUGCUCGCUGUGACCUGGUGUUUCCACUUCAAUGUCCCUUAUCUGCACUGCUGUACUGGUUUCCUGCUGCUUGUUACUCUCAUCCUCUGUACUGGUUUCCUGCUGCUUGUUACUCUCAUCCUCUACGGCUUUCAUCAUCUUCUCGACCCUCGUGCUCUUCGAUGACAGGAAGUACACUCGGCACCCGAGCAUGUCCUUCAACUCCUUCUUCAUUGCCUCAAAGACAUCCUCCGCUUUUUCCUUGUUGUCGGGGAGUAGCUCAGGGUGGAAGGCCACCAAGUAGGCACAGUAAUUGGACAGCUUAAUCGCCACCAUUCUUACAUCUUCAUUUUUAUUGCUCGGAGGGGCACACUUGGCCUCCAAGAUGCUGGUGGCAAUGUGCAAUGUGAGGAUGACCUCGGCGGCGCUAUCGCUCGUGCAAGCCUCCCUUAGAGCAUGGUGUUGAGGAAUCUUGUGCUUCUCCAAUGCAGAUGUGCCUUUGGUAAGGGGAGUGUUAUUAGGAUGGCGAUCAUGUUCCACAAGACAAUCCAUGAUGGACUGCUUCAAGCUGUUGGGUACACCCUCUGUUCUUAUCGCCAAGAAGAGUGGGGAAAACAAUGGUAGGUGGGGUGGCCAACGGAGGUUCAACAUGGAAAAUUGCUUUACCCUAAGGGGGGCAUGGCUCAUCCUGCUCCGUAGCCACAGGAGACGGCGGAAGGCUCCACCAAAGGUGGGGCUCCGAGGCCAGUCGUAUUUGGCCCUGAAGCUGCAUAGCACUGAGACCAUGAACCAAUUGGAGAGUAGGAAAACAACGAACUCCCAUAUCUCCUCGUAGAAGAAGAUGAUGAAUAGAAAGGCAGUUAUAGAAAGGUCUACUAGGGAAAAGAAGGCUGGGGCCUUAUUAUCGAGGGCUUUGGCUAGAAGGCAUCUGACUAUUUUUGAAACUCCAUGCUGCAAGGUGUAGUUGUCUCUACCGAGGCUUUUGAAUGCAUAUCCAACAUCUCCAUUGCCGCACAGAAUAAUAGACAUGAGGCACAGGACGGUUACGACUAUGGGGAGAAGAAAGUAGUUUGCUAUGAGGAAGAAGGGGCUCGCGAAGACGACAGGGAUGACAGAGUGGUAAUACUCACUGAGGAAGUUGACCUCAUCAUUCAUCACUUGGAAUAGUACAUGUGCAUCCUCCUUUCUUCUUUGGCCGUACAAGCCAUUCAAGAGGAACUUCCGGCAGUCGCGUGCCUCUUCAUCGCUCAUCGCCGGCUGAUGCUCAAACCUUCGACGCAACAAUUUGAAGAGAGCAAACGAGAGGCAGAUUCUCUUGAGGUGUUGGAUUUCCUUGUGCUGACUGCCUGUCUCGGGAAGCUCCCAAACUUUACCAACAGUGAUGACGCCAUCGUCGUUGGUCGGAAAAAAGAACUCAUACCCAUCUGCAGUAGCCUUCUUCACCAACUUGUUUUCUCCCAUGACAAUGUACUUGCACCUCUUCAACAGCUCGUCUCCGUCCUGGACAGCUUGGUGGCGCUCUGCUUGAUGCUCCUCACGUUCUAGCAUCUGAGCCAUGUAUGAGGUGAGUACAGAAGCGUUCUUGCCAUGGGCAUAUGAACGCUUCCCCACCUCGGUGAAGACGAAUCUCUGCGCCACUUUUGUGGCACAAAGGAUCCAAAGGAUGCUGAACACCGCCUUCCGACCAACGCUCUUGAUGUUGAAGAAGACAAGGUUUCCCAGCCAAACAACGCGGCCGGCGCGCUGGAUGGUGCUCGAGUGCCCGCGCAUGCGGAUCUCGUCCACCUUCUUGCGGAGGAGCUCCACCAGAAGCAUCCAUACCAGGAUCAGCCCGGCCGUCAGCGAGAGAUCAGCCACGGUGGUGGUGGUGGAGGAGGAGCUCGUCGUCGUCGUGUUCCUCGCGUUCUUGGCCUCGGAGAAGAGGUAGGACAUGACGGGGAGGAAGAGGGAGAGCGCCGAGGAGAGGAAGAGCCGGACUUUGGGGUCGAGGAUGGCGCUCACGUCGGAGAUGCCGCUGAAGAGGUUGAGGCUGAAGAAGAGGCCGGCGAGGACGAACAUGAUGGUGGUGGAGGAGACAAUGGUGGGCUCAUUGCUCUUAUCUAUGUAGGAUGAUGUGAGGUUGGAAAUGUACAUAGUCAUAUUUGGAUCGCAGAAUUCUCUCGGGUCAAGCUUGAGUGCAAAGUGAAGGACCAUUGUGUGGUAUACGGACGAUUACUUGAGAGUAAUCUUGAGUUUAUCGUAGCUGGGGUUUGGUUUGGUUCAUCUCUGGAGCAUUGCAUGGCUAUAUAAGCUAGUUUGGUGUGUGCAGUAAGCUGCGUUCGCGGUGGCCAAUGGCGAAUGGCAUCGCGUGCUUGCCAUGUUUUUUGUUUGGUGUCCGUUACAGAAGCUAGAGUACGUUGAAGCUCAGAUUAUUACUGGUUGACUGCGACUGGCAUCACUUGCUUGCCAAGUCUUGAAUUGAUACAAAGUGCUUCGCAUGAUUAUCUGCUCUAAUUAAUAACAUUCGAUCUGUGAGCUACUUUAUUCGAUCUGUAUGUGUUUGCCUUUGGUGUUUAUUAAUCCCAGAAUAUUUUCUCUUCUUUACCAAAGGACACAGAGGACGACCAUGACUCCAUGAGAUCGAAUACGUGAGCUAGUUUCUUUAACUUUUCUGUAUUUUGUCUUUGGUAUUAUUAAUGACAAUAUUUCUUUAUCAAAGGACUGCAGAUCACUAUGAGAAUGCGUUAGUUUAUAUUAGUUCUCCUGCCUUUUUAUCUUCUGUGUUUCAUAAUUCCACACUAUCUUUACUUUACCAAAUUAAAGGGCGGGCGCACUGUCUCAGUUAGGCUAUUGUAGACCCUUUUGUUUUAUCAUGCUUUUAAAGAUGCCAUGCCAUGUUUCUAGUAAACAAGUUAGGAUUUGAGAAAAUGUUUAGAGAUAUACACUUUGAUAAUAUAAUUAAUUUCUUACAAUAUAUAAUCAAUUGAUACAAGUUAAUUAAAUAAAGAUCAUAUUAACAAUAAACAUAGAGAGUAAUUAAAUAACCUUAAAUUAUUCUUAUUAUACGAUUCGCAUGAUAUGGUUUAUGUUCUUGCUAUGUUUAACCAUCUAAGUAUGAUGAAAUUCCUUAGUAGCUAGCUUAGCCCCAUUCUAGGCAUUCUUGAACCCUACGCUUACAUAAAUGGAGGAAUAGGAUGGCACAAAGAGGAUAGUAGCCGCGACAAUGGGUGGCACUUGUAACUGCAUAGGGAGCCUGAGCUUCAAGAACAUCUGAGUUGUUAACUGCACUGUGUGAUUUACUUGGUCAUUAACAAGCGAGCUCAGAUGUCGCAAUGUCCACAUGUCAGGCACAAUGUCACAUAUUAAUUACUGUAGAAAGGUAUAGCCAACGUGGUUUGAUGUAUAAGAAUACAACAUGUAUAUACGAACAUCUUGAAACUCUCAAGCAUUUUGUAAGAAGAAAAGGAUGGAGGACUGAUUCAAUCUCACGAGGUAGUUUGCGACCACGUCACAUGUUAAACCAUGUUCUUGAGUGGGCAUAGACCCUAUUUGAAAUUGUUGGACAAAAUAAUUUUCUCGUUCACAUCCUGAUCAAAUAACAGAAUCUAACAUAUAUAUAACAUGUUAUAAAGAUCACAUGAAUUUUUUUUGUCAUUUCAACCUGUUUUCAACCACGAGAACAAGAAGAGAAGGAUGAAUCUAGAAUAGUGAAUGAUUUGGGGAUAAAAAAAUCUUGAGACAGAUUAAUAGACAGACAUAUACCCUUUAUUUAUUUAUUUUUCAGGAAAACAAGUACAUAGAAAAAUUGCGUACAAUGAAGCUGAUCAAUACUGAAUGAUUACUGAGACUGACACGCAUGACAUUGUUCCAAACUUCCAAGCAACAUAGAUGGUCAAGAUUGCACUGUCGAUCGAGUAUCCUCCAUUGGCUAAGCAGUCAGCACUCAGCAGGCGCCACGGCGGAAUCCGACGGCCCCGCCGCCGAUGUCAUACAGCACCUCAAGCGUCCUCUGCUGCACGUUGCCGAUGAUCCCCACGGACUCGUCGUCGCCGGUGGACGCGAAGGCGAGGCAGCCGUCGAGAAUGGUCCCCGACCGGUCGAGCUCCACCGUGGCGCCCCUCUCGAACACGAGGGAAACGCUUGGAACCUUGACGUCGUCGCCGACGGCAUCGCUGAUGUUGAAGCACGUGUCCAAGAUCGCCGACGACGACGCCACCCGCGGGUACAUCUUCAUCUCCUUCCUGAACGCCGCCCGAAGAACACGGUACGCCUUCGGGGGCAGCCGCGUGAUGAUCGUUCCCGAGUCCAUGACCGCGCCGGCGCUGAACGCCGACGGGGGCACGCGGAGGCGCCGCCCGGCCACGGUGAUGCCCUGCAGGAGCACGAGGUAGAAGGUGUCGACGCUCAUGGUCCUGUACAUGGGCGUGACCGUGAACCUCGACGAGGAGGCGCGCGGCACGCCGAGCGUCAGGAAGCCGGAGUAGUUCGCCGCCGGCGGGAGGCAGUAGGAGAAGGCCUUGGUCGCCGUCUGCGACACGAGCGACGGCGAGCCGCCGCCGAGACCCAUGAGCCCGUCGGCCUUGUCGCUGAACAGCUGCGCGGCGUGGCUGCAACCGAACUGGAAGUGGUCGACGGCGUACGCCGGGGUCAGCGUCAGCUUGUCGGUACUGUACGUCCCGGUGGUGUUGGAGCCGUCGCCGUAGUUGACGAUGUACUGGCACUGGCGGCGCUUGGAGCAGCCAUUGCCGUAGAGAUCACGGCUGAGACCGUUGCAGGCGGCGGAGCCGCAGCCGAUGGCCGAGUACGUGGCCGACCUAGCCGGGUUGAAGAGCUUGUCCUUCUGGGGGUGGCACGCCGUGGUGGGGCACGGGCGGCACUGCACCCACGUCACGUCGCUGCCGGUGUCGAUGUGCACGGUCUGGGUGACCGCCGGCGUGCCGAGGCCCACGGUGACGACGUACUCCAAGGUGUCCAGGGAGGAGCCAAGCGUGGUCGGGACGGUCACGUCGCGGCGCUUUGCUCCAGCAGUGCCGUUGAGGCCCUUCCGGAUGCGGUCGGCGCGGAGGCGGUCCCGGUGGAGCACGUCGGCCGUCGAGGGUAUGGUCUCCGAGGAGGGGAACGGUGAGCAAGGGCCUCGCCGGUGGUUCAACGGCAGCCAAGUGCGACUGGAGAGUGGAAUGCUCACUGAAAAUCAACAUAGGUAGGGUGAUCAGCUGCGCAUUAGUAGUACUUAGUUACUUGAAAAUUAAAUGUGGCUGGAUGAAUAUAGUACCGCAACCAUGGAUUUCUUUUCAGAAAGGAUAAACAAAAGGAGUAAAAAUUAACCUCUGUGGCCGGAGCAGACGGCAUUGGAUUUGAGCGUGCUAGUUGUUGCAUGAGCAAUUGGAGAAGAAACACACAGGACAAGAACUAGCGGCAAAACAGGAAUCAUUGUAAAUUCUCUCUAAUUCUUUUUCUUCAGUGAACGUUUCUUCAAAAUUCUAGCUAGCUAGUGCAGCAGGUUGUGCUUCGAAACUCUAAGCCUCGAACAUAUAUAGGCUGUGUGGAACUGCACAGUUAGAACAGAAAGCCAUUUUUCAUGAACUUACAUUCUAACUGAUCAUUAAGGCACAAAAGAAAUCAUACGAGUGCAACUAUCUAUGGGGAAUAUUCAAUAUACUCUACAUGCACUAUGAUAUCUAGUGUAGAGCAUACUAAUGAAAUUUAGGAUUCAAAAUUUAUCCCGCGAAAACACAAUUGUACUUUUGGACAAGCUUGCAGGACUAUUGUGCUAUUUUCUGCAUGUGCAUCAAACUCGUCCAUAUAAUAAUUAGGAGGAGGAUUCCUGUUCUUUUCUUUAAACUUGUGCAUACACAAUUAACUAUAACAUGUGACCAAAAUGCCAUCUGCAUGAGCAUGAAACUCUUACAUGCAUAAUGGUUAGAAGCAUCUAAGUCAUUUUCCUUCAUCACUAUUAUUCUAUCUAAAGAUUUCUAUGAUUGCAUUCUUUGCAAGAUGGAGGGAUACUAUGUAUAUAUAGAUAGUAGUGAAGUAUUCUAGUUGACACGUACAUGUGGUGACUUCGUAAAUCUCAAAAUAUGUUGGCUCAAUCUCUGUUAGAUAUCUACAGAGAUAGGAUGUGUGCACGCGCGCACACAUUUAUUAAGUUGAAUGUGUACGCACGUAUGUGAGUGACUGUACUUCAGAAAAAAAAAUGAUCCAAACCCUUGCUACAGGUUUUCAAUCCCGCGUGUAUUACUGUAAAUGACGUGCCCAACAACCUCAAGCAACCAAACACACACAUCCUUCAUAUUCCCGGGUCGUCUCUCCAGCCUGCAGACAAUUGAGCUUAGGAAUGCAAGCAAACAAGCCCUAAACCUUUCAGCCCAAGUAAGAAUCAAUGCAAUACGUCAUAUCAGGCCCCUUAAACUGUUGAUAUAUAUGGUUCCUAGCAUUUUAUUAAACUUUAUUUUUGUGAUAACAUUUUUAAGAGCGACUGCUCCAAGCUUUUGGAACCUGGUUCUUUUUGGAAGGACCCAUAUGUCUAGAAUUAUUCGUUAUGAUGAUAAGAAACUUUAUUUAUUGGAGUAGAAACGAUAAUGCUAACUUAAAAAGUAGGCAAUAACUUAAAAAACUUUUGUAUUUCUUUCUGCAAGAUGACUUGUGCUCUCUCCGAAUUGAACCUUUUGUGGCCCUCUCCUUGAUUUUGUGAGAUGAGCCCAAGCCAAGUUUGUUCUCGGUUACAUCAUCAUGGAGGCAUGGACAUCACCGAAGAGGACUGUUCCAAAAUAGCAACUGCCACGUCUGCCCUCACAUGGCUAAGCAUAGGAGGUUAAGACCAACACCUUUUGUUUGUGUGUGUACGUAACCAAGCUGCCAAUUACAAGGAGUACACUGCUCCUUUUUAUGUUACUAGCAAAAUGCCCGUACGUUGCUACGGUGAAAUGAUAAUCAUAUUUUUAAAACUCGUGGGGUUUUUUCCUAUUUCUAUCACUAUAUAUUUAUUGCAUUUCUGUUAACAUAUAUCCUUAUACUAAAAUAAUUAUUCAUUUCUCAAACACAAUAAACCAAAAUAUUUAUUGUUUGAUGCUUUCUUGCUAUGCGUGUUUGGUUAAUUAUUUGUUUACGAGGAGAUAUAGUGUCUAGCUGUUGUUCACAAGAAAUAGUGUCCAAGUAUUUUAAAUGAAGCUUAAAGUUUGAAAGGUGGGCUAUUUAGAUUGUCAGAAGUGCAUUGGAAAUUUCUGAAACUAAAACUGGAAUGUUCAGUUCCUGGUUGCCCGUGCGUUGCUACGGGUCAUUACUUGCUCUCACGUUAUUAUACGUUUGUUUAUAAUAUGUUAGCUUCGCUUCACAAUAUGUGGUAGACAAUUCAUCAAAGAUGAGUGGCAAAAAAGACCAUUACUCCAUCACCAUUAUAAAGGAAACAACAAUUACCACCCAAAUAUGAAACGUAUAGGAAGAUAUCAGCAAAUACUACAUAUCAAACAACAGUGACAUCAUCAGGAAUACUGAAUGCCUUAACAGAUAUCGGUUGUACCUAUUUGGUGAGGACCUCUGAAUACACUAUAUUCUUUGUGUAUCUAUCGGUUGUGUCUUUUUGAUUCACCUUUUUCUUAUUUGAAACUGGAAUGUUCAGUUCCUAACCGAAAGUCAGAGCUCUCAAUCUUCCAAACCAAAGAUCUUUUGAGCAAAGUUCCAAUCUAGAACUUGCAGCCCUAUAGUACCUCUACAAGUUUGGUUAAAGGUGCUUGGAGAGUUUGUUAUUGGAUUUGGAUGAUCUGUGCUCGAGAAAAGGUAGCCUUUCGGUGCUUUGGAGAUAAUUGACAGGAGAAAAUUCUAAAGGUUCAGUGUAACCGGUGUUUUUCCCAAAGUUCAGAGACUUUUAUCUUUCGAUCCUAUGGAACCAAAGCCCUAUCUAACACAUGUAGCUCGUUGAUCCAGAUACAUCUUUGUAUAAAGACGAUUUGCAAGUUUAUGUUUGGAUUUGGACAAGAAUCGUUGGGGAAGGGACUGCUUUUCUGUAUUUCUGGAGCAGCUACAAGCAGCAAUAGCAGCUCGCAGCACUGCCACCACUACUUAAGCCUCCGCGGUGAAAAUCCUCACGUGCCACAUGCCGGCAAUGCCGCCGAGGCUGCAUGCAGGGGCAGCGGCAGAGUGCCCUGCUCCGGCUGGCACCCGCGCCAAAUCCUCCUCCUUCGCCUCUCUGUUUUGAAGAAAGGAGAAGCUUUUUGCCCUUUAGCGCCCUCCCUUCCCUCCUUUUUCCACCUGAGCCCCCCUCUCUUCAGAAUUUGGACUGCGGGUUGAUUCCAUAAAAAUUGAGGAACUUUUUUGCAAAAUGACCAUGACGUAUGAAAAAAAACUGGGUAGAAACCUUACUUGCUUUAUGGAAAAAACAUGUUAGUAUGACAUAUUUUCACUUAUAUAUAUCAAAAUGCCCGAGCGUUCCUACGAUGAAAUGAUAAUCGUAUUUUUAAAACUCAUGUUUUUUUCUAUUUGUAUCACUAUAUAUUUAUUGCAUUUCUGUUAACAUAUAUCCUUAUAUUGAAAUAAUUAUUCGGCCAUCAGCCGUGGCUUCUUCUCAGGGUCGGACCCGUUGUACUGCUUCAACUCCUCUUGAGUCUUAAUUGUUUGCCUUACCGUUUUUGGCCCAAUAUCUCCCCCGACAUGGCAGCUUAACUUCGCACCUGGCUCGUAGCCAUCCAUCUGGAUUGGGCGGUCGAGACAAUCACGAUGCAAAACACAACUCGGACACUCGUGAUGCAAAACACAACUCGGUUCCAGCAUCUCAUGUGAAAUCCUAAGGUGACGUUUGGACGGUGGAUGUGAUAUGAAAAUGGAUAUAAGAUGGGAUACGGAGAAGUAGAUUAUGGAUUGGGAAAUAAAACUCCAAUCCGAAUCCAUGGUUUGGCUGUGCUUAGGAAAUGGUUUGGAUUUAAAGCGGAACCCACGUGCAAUAGAAAAAGAAAGGAAGAGGACUUGGCCGUUUUCUCUUUUUGAUGCAACGGCACCGUCAUAAUCCAAACUGCGAGGCACCCUUAUCUCUGGUUCUCUCUUCUCUUCGUCCACGCUGGAUCUUACCCCGUAUUCGUGUUUAGGUUCUUUAAUUUGGGUCUAGAUUUUCUACGGGACCCACAAACUAAUUAAAAAAAGGACGGUCCUUAUCUUUUGGUGCCUUGUUCGUUCACAACCACAUGGUGCUACUCGAGCUCCGAGGCGAGCAGCACACUCUGCCACAGCACGACAAGACCGAGGCUUCAGCUGCGUGCGAUUCGAGUGGCGGCGGCGACCACUACGCGCGGCACCUGCGGUGGCGAGGACCAUGCGUAGCAUCUACCGUGGCUGCGCUCCCGCUCGUGUGGCUGCGGUGGCGGUGGCUUCGCUUCCCUCCGCGUAACUCCGAGCGCAAGCCAUGCGGCGAGCUCCGACGUCCACAGCAUGCUCCGGUCCCGACACUUCAAGCUGCUGCGGUUCCUCUCGCAUGUGCGCGCGUGUGGACAACGCACGGGCAUCAGUACGGCGGCUGCGGCGGGGAGAUCCGGGCGGCCGCGGAUGGGAAGCUCCAGUUGGCGAGCUCUGGGUGACGGCUUCAGCGGGGGAGAUCCGGGCGGCUGCGGAUGGGGAGCUCCAAGCGGGCGCGUGGCGCCGCCUCGGCAACGGGCGGGCGGCGCGGCCGUGGUGGGGCGCCCCGCUCCGGCCGCUGCCCGCGCCCCGUCCCCCUCCUUCGCCUCCUUGUUUUGGAUUGGAGAAAGGAGAAGUUUUUUCCCUUUAAACCCCCUCUCUUUCCUCCUUUUUCAAUCCGACACCCAGACUAUUCAUAAUAAUGGACUGCGGGUUGAUUACACAAAACAUCAGGGUUUUUUUUGCAAAAUGACCACGACGUACGAAAAUCCAGGCAGAGGCGUUACUUGCUUUAAUAAUAGGUAAAGAUAAUGCAAAUGCAUGUGCUUUCUAUAUAACCAGGAAUAAUCAGCAAUCUUACUACUACUAAUCGGAGGCUCCCUUUGAAGCCUCUAGGUGAAGCCACCUAGGAUUCCUAGCUGGACACUCUAGAAAAAGAGUGAAAUCCUAGAAAUUCUCACAAAAAAAGCAAAACAUCUAACCAUCAAUCUAUAGAUUCAAAUCAUCAUAGCCAUUGGAUCUAUUAUGUUUUCUAAAAAAUUACCCACCUAUGCCAUUAUGAAAAUAGCCUAAAGUAACCCCCUAAAACUAUAUAUAAAUUACCCACCUCUACCAUUAUAGAAAAUAAACUAAAGUAACCCGUAAUCUUAAUCAAAAUUACCCACUUAUGCCAUUGUAAAAAAUAUUUAAAAUAACCCCCUAAUUUGCGACUGAAUUGCCUACCACUAUUACUUAAAAAACUUAAAGUAACCCCUUAAAUUUGUAUCUAUAUUACCCACACAUGCUAUUAUUAAAAAUAACAUGAGGUAAUAACCCUACGUAAUGUACAACAAUAUAUGAUUCUAAAUUGUCUAUAUCUUGCACUAUUGGUAUACGAUAUAAUAAUUAAGGUUUAUACGCAUGAUGUGUGUCACCAUUUAUAAUUAAAGAUAUAAAGUGAUGGGAAUAUAAUUUCUAUGCUAAAUUAAAGAUAUAAAGUGAUUGCAUAGAGUAAUUAUUAAUUAAAAAUUAAUCACAACUGAAUAAAGAUAGGUACAUACCUAUAUAAGUAUUAUGUUGAAGUAUUGGAAAAAUAAGAGAGUAGUAGGUAAACAAUUUUGAUCAUUAGCUAAGAGUUUAAUUUGUAAAUAAUUUUCAAAUACAAUAGCUUCUAAAAAUAUUAGUCCGUGCGGGAGCACGGGUUGAUGGACUAGUGACCACAAGAUCAUAUCCGCCUUUUGCUUUGCCUUUGCUCGAUCCAAUUCCUGGCAGCGUCCUUAACACACAACGUUUUAAGCACUCUUGCGAAUAACAGCUAUACUCUUCUAGCUGUUCAGAAUCAGUACGAGAUGCGUGCAUCAUGUCCUUCUUUAUUGGUGCUGCCUUUGAUGGACAAGCAUCUUUUUGAAAAACAAAGACCUUAUUUUUCAUACAAAAAUGCCACUAACUAACUCUUGUUUUCAAACAAUCAUACAAACAUGCAUGGUCAGUACGUAUACCUGCACGUAUCUACGUACACUAGCAUGACUACUCUCUCUCUCACAUCAAGCAACGCCUGCGCGUGCGACGAUCUAUUAAAAAAACGUUCAGCGGCAGCCAGCGCGCCACUUUGAUUUUUAUGCAAACCAAUACAUUAUUAGCUGCACAAGGCACAAACCAAUACGAACUUAAGCAUGGCACCUCCAGCUCCGGCGCCUCAGGCGGCUGCGACGAGGGCGACGACGAAGAGCGUGAAGGCCCCGACCGUGAAGCAAUUAAUACAUCAUAGCAGCUCUGAUGGCGGUCCUGGUCGCGGCGAUCAUCGUCACCGUCUUCUUCAUCGUGCUUAGCCCCGUGCGCAUCCUCAUUUUCGUCGCCGACGCGAGCAGCCACCACUAGGUCAUAAAAUAUCUGUGCUGGUGGCUAAAAGGGAUCUGUGCUGGUGGGCCGAGCACCCACCAACAACCUUGAGCCAGUACAAAUGGCGUCUGUAAUGGCGGGUGCUCGCCCGCCAGCAUAGACCGCUCUGUGCUGGCGGGCGACGUUAGCCACCCGCCAGCACAGAUGCUUUCCAAUCCAAUAUAUUAUUUCCCGUGAGGUAUUUAUAAUUUCUAUUUCCCGCCAGUUGUUAGCCCGUGAGUUAUUUAUAAUUUCUAUUUCCCGCUAGUUGUUAGGCGUUAAAUUGAAAUAUGUAUCUCCAACCAUUAGUGCCGGUUAUCGCCAGUUGUUAGCUGGUUGGCGGCGGGAUUUCUUUUUUUAUUUUUUAAUACCCCUUUAGCACCGGUUAUUUGACCCUGUAGUAAAGACCCCCCUUUAGUACUGAAGUAGCAAUACUGGUUGCACAACCGGUACUAAGUGGAUUAGUACUGGUAUUGAACACUUUCCCCAGUAGUGUUCCCCGAUGCCGCUCAAGUUACCGGCGUACCACCAGCUCCACUGCCGGUUCUUUGCGUGUAGUUUACCUAAUGGCCACUCAAGCUCAAGUCUCAACUAGUGCACUAAAAAGCAAAAUCAAACCUAUAAACCCAGCCCUCAAACACGUAUAUGUUCCUUUCUUCAAACUCUUUGAAACAAAAAAAAAAGAGUGUGCUAAGUACUUCGGUUCCAUAUCUCUUCUUUAUUUAAUCAAAAUCAAACUUUGGUCCUGCUAGAGCGAAAACGAGAUUGUUGGCUUGAUGACUGGGAACAUUAGCUUACAAAGAUGGAGUAUCACACAAUAAAAAUAUGCAAUAGAUAAAUCAACUACUGACCCGAGAUUUUUAAUGUUUAAGACUAAUUAUAAAGGAAUUUCCUGCAGGGAAAUGGGGAUAAGAGCCCAUUGACACCUGAUUUUGUUGUAUGGAGACUCAAAUCCUACCACUAUGACUCGAGAGUGUUGUUAUUAGGAUUUGUAUUAGAAAUUGAGUGUUGGCUCCUACAAGCAUGUUUGAGGGGUUAAGAGUGACUAUAUUACUAUAUAAACAAGAUUUGGAGACCAUAAUGAUCAAUCAAGCCAAGAGGAAACAAAUUAAGGAAACACAAGAUCUCAUCUAAGAUUUGCAAGGUAGGAGCGCUCAAAAGGUUUAGGCUAGGUAAUUUAUAGUACUAGAUUCUUAUAUAGGAUGAGAAUGAGAGAGUUCUAAAGGAUCAAGUAGAGUUGUGAGCGAGCGACAAUCACUUAUACUUGUGUAGAGUUCUAUUUAAAGGCCUUGUCGGCUUUGCCAAAAUAUUAUCCUAUUUGUUGUGGUUGCUUCAACGCCUUCAUCAAGGGUCCUCUACAAGGUUCAUCUACAUCAUCACUCUUCAUAUGGUGUAAGCUUGUUUCAUACUCACAAUAUCGUUUCUAGAUCCGAGGAUUGUUGCCCACAAUUAGGGUAUUAGAACUUGAUAGUAUUCAGGGUGUUCUCCAACGAGGCAAUAAUUGAGAGGUGAGACAAUGAAAAUAAGGCCAAAACUAUUCAGCUCAAGUAGCUAGGAACCAAUAUGCAAUAGGAUGACAUUCCUUCCUUCACACUAGGCCAAAAAACGUUUUUGCUAGUGGCUAAAAUAGGUUUAUGCUGGCAAGUAUAGCACCCGCCAGCAACCUUGAGCCAGCACACUAGUGACCGGAUGUUGGAUGAGAAUCCGGUCGGUACUUUCAACCCGCGCAAGCACUUGCAUAUAGCCAAUCUCUCAUCUGGUUAGGUUGUAGCUAGACGGGGGAAGGUAUUGCUUACCAUUAGGAAGUUCUUGUGGGUGGAGCUUUGGCCUGAUUUUAAGGUCAACCAUAUCCUUACGUGAUUUUAGUUUGUCCUUUGCCUUUUCUGAUAAGCCCAAGAAUCCGAUGGUGCUAUCAAACACAUUCUUCUGAAGAUGCAUCCCAUCAAUGGCAUGACGCAUCACCAGCUCUUGCCAGUAUGACAAAUACUUAAAGAAGAUAGACAUAUUCUUAAAUGGCACGUCGGCGAUGCAUGUAGUUUCAGCUUGCUUCCUUCCCAUUUUCAUAUUAUCAACACCAGCUAAUGACUUCAUACCGAGUUUGAACUUGACCUUCUCGCACAUUUCAAAUACUAUUUUACCUAUAGCCGGUUGCGGAGCAAAAUCAUUCUCGUUGGUGCCAUCAAAAAAGUCCUUCAUCCUGCUACAUUUGUGUGUCUUCAAUAAGAACCGUGUAUGCCGCAUGUACACUGUCUUCAUAGAUCCCUUAAGGUACACAUAUGAUGUUCCAUCCAAGCAAACUACGCAUACUUUCUUACCUUUUACCUGACCUGUCAGGAAAAAUAGGGUGGGAUAAUCAUUGAUGGUAACAAAGAUAAUGACCCUUAGUGUGAAGUGCUCCUGUCUGUACUCGUCCCACAUCCGAACCCCAUCCUCCCAAAGCUUCUGCAUAUCUUCCAUCAAUGGCUCAAGGAAAACAUCUAUGUUGAUGCCAAGUUGCUUUGAGCCUUGUAUGGGAAUGGUUAGCAAAAGGAACUUUCUCUUGUGACGUAGCCAUGGGGAAGGUUGUAUAUGGUCCUCGGCAUUGCCCAUGUGCUGUGCGUGCUGCAUCUUUCACCAAAUGGAUUAAUGUCGUCUAUACUCAACACGAACCGCACAUUCCUUUUUUUCAUGGGAAAACUCUAGAUGAUUGGCAUCGGAGGUCCUCCACUGGCAAGCAUCAGAAGGGUGUUGAAGUUUUCCGUCAGCCUUUACUGGGCGAUUGGCAUGCCAAGUCAUCAGUUCAGCGGUUUUUGGGUUUGAGAAUAAACGCUUCAGAUGGUCCACCACCGGCAAGUACCACAUCACCAAGGUAGGAACUCUUCACUGAGUCGUGUUAGUACCUAUAUAGGAUUCGUCCUCCACUUGAACACUAACAUUUUUAUUUGCACCCUUCUUCCUAUUAUUCCUAAUGGAGGAACCAGCACGGUCCUUAUAGAAAUCGGCAGUACUUUUGCAACGGCUAGAAUCGCAAUUUGAACACUUUUCCAAUGCUGUGUACUCACCACGGUACAAUAUGCAGUGGUUCCUGCACGCACGUAUCCUUUGCACAUGCAUCUUCAAUAGAUUGAUAAUCUUCUUUGCUUCGUAUUUGUUUUUGGCACAAAUUUAGGCUUUAGGAGCAAUUUGCCCAGUAAGGAGAUCAUUGAAACUAUUGUCUGACUAGCCGAAUUUAGCCUUCAGGAUCAGAAGAUGAAGGACAAAACGCAAGACUAUCCACUCCUUCCCACAGCCCUCAUACAUACGGUCCUUUGCUACCUUUUUGAGUGUCUCAAAAUUCUCUAACCCUUUAGGACUUUCUAGCAACACUUCCGGUUCAAUGUGGCGCAACAUGUCCUCCAUAUCAACAUUACGUUCCUCGUCCACCUAUGGUUCCACACGUGCAUCUGUUUGAUCACCAUUUUCAUCUCCAUGGUCAUAUAAUCAUCAUCCAUUAUAACAUGAUCAUUUUCAUUUGCAUCAUCACCACCCACUUCAUCAUAGCCAGUGUCGAUGUCUGUGUUGUUGAAAGUACCUCCUGCCUCACCAUGAUGGGACCAAAUUGUGUAUUCAUCCACAGAAUCUCACUUUAUCAAAUGCCUCUUGAUAACAUCAUUAUCCUCUCAUAUAAUAUUGUUGCUGCGGUCAAAACGCGGACAAUGUAUUUGCAUUGUCUGGCAACUACAACCAUACUUCUCCGCAGCCUUGAUAAACUUUGAUACCUCUAACAUGAAUGUAUGCGAAUGUCUCCGUAUGCCAUACAUCCAUACUCUAUGAUCCACCUUUAACUACCUAUGACAAUAAUUGAUAAGUGCGAAGAAAAAUAAUCAAAUUUCAUUCUAUAGUAAAUUAAUCAAACACAAUUCUAUAUUACAUUAAAUGAAAAUUAAUUAAACUAUGGAUGUAAUAAAUAAUAAGUAGGAAGAAAUAUAAUCAAAAUCAAUUCUAUAUUACCCUAAAUGAAACUCAAUUAAACCAUAGAUGUAAUAAUUAAUAAGUAGAAAGAAAAACAAACUCAAUUAUAUAUUAAAUUCAAUCAAUCUCAUUAAUUAAAACUAUGGAUCUAAUAAUUAAUAAGUAGGAAACAUAUAAUCAAACUCAAUUCUAUAUUACUUUAAAAUGGCAAACAUAGUAUUGUAAUGGUUAUAAUAUGACCAUAUAAUUUUAUUUACAAAAAUAAUCCAUCUCUAAUUUAUUUAUCUCUCUUCCCUCCUCUCUCUUCUAGGUUUAGAUCUAGAUGACAACCUAAUGAAGCUAGAAAUGAUGGAUAGAAGUUGAAAAAGAAGAUUAGAAUGGCACAAGCUCACCUUAUAUAGCCACCUCCUCCAAAGAAAUCAAGAGCAAAACCUUCCCCUUGAAUUUGGUGUUUCUGGAGCUUUUCCCGAGCUCCUCUUGGGCAAACUCCCAAUGGAAGGUUGGUUGGGGAAGAAGCUAUCCACGGUCUUAUCUGGGCGAGAUCUGUGCUGACGGGCAACAUAAGCUACCCACCAGUACGGAUGGGGUGCAUCUGUGUUAGCGGGUGCUUAGGUCGCCCACCAGCAUAGUGGCACUUGUGCUGACGGACCCUCCCCUGCCGGCCCAAGGAAGCUUUGUGCUGGCGGGUGUCAAUCACGCCCGCUAGCAUGCUAAAUUCCCUGUGCCAGCACAAAUCAAUUCUGGCGUAGUGUCAUGCAGUCUGGAACAGGAAUUUUUUUCUUUUCUUUAUGAAUACACACAUUAUUAAAGUAUCCAUCCACUCAAAAAGACUUGUUUCAGGUUUUGUGUCAAUUUGUUUAAACAUUGGUGAUCGUUACCAUCUUUUGACGUAAAUUGAUCAUAUGAAAGAAUAGAAUUAUCUUGAAAUUAAAGUCGAUGUCAUAUUAUAACAAAUUCUCUACAUUUUGCAUAGAUUGAUAUACGCUAGUAAUGAGUAAUCAAGAUAAUGUAUUGGCAACCAUGCAUGUUGUCAAUAUCUAAUAAAAUGAACUAUUUCGUGACUGUACCUGAGGGUGCUCCUGCCACUCAUUAGUUGUAUUAAAGCUACGGUUUCUAAACAUGCAAAAGUGCUUAUCGCAAAAUUUACUCAAAUGCUGGCAGAUGCAUGGCUGCCAGCAUUUGAGUAAAUUUUGCGAUAAGCAUCUGGGUUUCUUUUGCUAAAACAGUUUUUAAAAGUGGCUGCCCACCUCCAACAAUAAUCCCAUCCCUAGUCUGCUAGUUCUUUUAAAAAUGUUGAAAGGGCCCAUGCGUAGCUCUUAUAAAAUUAUUGACGAUAAGAAUAGAAUAAAAAUGAUUGUGCUAACCCAGAGCUGACACGGACUAGUCUUUUGCUUUCCGGAUAGAUGGAAAUCGUUAGCGCUCUCUUUUUUCUAUGGCCAAAUGAUACUCUCUUCUUUACUUGUCGGACAUUAUGUUGGCAUCAAACGAUCACACCAUGCAUGGAAGUCAUCUCCCGUGCCCAUCAUCAUGCAUAUGCAUCGACGAGCAAUACUGGACAAAGUCGCCACUGCCAGUGACCGCCCUCUCCCUUGCCACACGCUGCGUUCAUGUUCUUACCAGCCAGGUUUUACAGGAGGUCAGGGACGUAUGGAUCCAAUGCCAUGAGGCAGCCCCGGCACGCCAUCACCGGCUAAACCUUAAGAUACCCCGUAGGGCUUGCUAAAUUUUUAGGAUGUCAACAAGGCUAUAUAUGUUAAAUCUCUACAAUUCAGAGUUUGCAAGCACAAGUAAGAAAUCUAUCAAUGUCAAGAUAUAACAUUGUAAGAAAACGAAUUAGAGUUUACAAUUUAAAAAUUUGUGGUUGUCUUGUGUUACACAUAUGUGUGUAAAAGAACCCUAAGAGUUUGCAAGCUGCUACAUGCCACUGACAGUUUGAUGCAUUAAUAAUAUUACAACGCCACAAGUAAGAAAUCUAUCAAUGUCAAGAUAUAACAUUGUAAGAAAACAUACAAGAGGUAGUGACUACCCAAUUGAGACGGAUCGCAAGCCCACAAGUUAUCUUUACUCUUUAAUCGGUUACACGGAAUAUGAACACACACACACACAUGGUUACUAAUGUCUGUGUAUGUUAGUACACAAGAUAAAGUAACUGAUUCUGAUGAGAUAUUGAUCAUGUGAUAUCCCAAGAAUUUUUGGUGGAGAAGAACUAAAGGGACAAAAAAAGGGGGGAGGCUAGGUGGCAGGAGUGGAGGAAACAAUCUAAGGACAAAGUGAUCCCAUUACAAAAAAUUGAGUGGAAGAAUCAUUUGCUAAAUUAGCAGUUUAAAGUUUGUUGACUUAGUUUAAAGCUGGAAACUCAUCAUUGUUCCCCAAAGAUUUAGCAGAGUAGAAAAAUGCAGGAGGUUGAGCCUUCUGAAGCUUUCCUGCUUUAAGGAUUUGGCAUCUCAUAGACAAUCUUACGGUAGAAUACUUUAUUUUUAGCUUCCUUUUCAUUUAAUCAUGCACUCGUGUUUCUCACCCAUAUUUCAUAUACAAGGAAGGGGGGCUAUAACCUAUAUGGCCUUCCUUUUCUCCAAUGAUGCUGUCCUGUCUCUCACUUUCAAGCAUCAUACUUCAUCAAUUUGAGGCAAACACCGAAUGCAUGGUUGCCUUUUGAGAUCACGAUAUAUAUAAUAAUUGUGAUUAGGAGCUUUGCAGCAUGGAGGAGUCCUUAGAAGGUUCCUUUCUCCGCUUUUCCAAUGUUUAUAAUUGGUGGUACAUCAUCUUUGCAUUUUGAAGGGCUAUAAAAGAUCUAUAUUUAUCGUUCUAGACAUUACAGCUAAGUCAUUGCAGCCAUAAAGACCUUCAAAACAGUAAAGAGUUUUCUUUGAGCCAAAUUCAAUUAAGAAUCAGUACGCGUGUUUCAUGCAUGACUAUAAAACACUUUAGAAAGAGUACCUUCGUUCCUUUGGUAUAGUUGCUUUGGAACUUCUUUUCUUUGUCAAUGCACACACUACCAAUGCAAAUUAUUUGAUGCUCUAAUGCUAAUCUUUUGGCCAUGAAACAAAGAAUUAGAAAUGAGCCACAUAUUAGGUUAUUCUACUCCUUUUGAAUCUGAUUCUCUCCUUGCACAAUAACCUGUGAAAUUAUGUUGGCUCAUAGCCUCCGGAAAAUAUGUUACAAAAUAUUCAUCCGUUGCAAAGGGCACAGUUAUUGCAGUGUCUCUACCCACAAAUUAAUGAUUAGGAAGAGAAUUUGUUGUAUUAAGGCGUGUUUAGCGGCAAUACUUCAAAUGUCUGGAAGAGGUGCCAUGUAGGAUUUUAUCUGACAUGUAGGUCAUAAAGAGAUACAGUCUAGCAAUUAAAAAUGGGCAUGAGAGAAAACCCUUUAUAGACAAAAAUUUUCCCUAUUAUAGAGAUGUCUUCUAUUAUUUAUGGCCACACAUUAUUAUUUUACUGUUUCCACUACGGAAACAGUAAAGUUGCCGAGUGUUUUCUGUUCGCCGAGUGCAUUAUCUCGGGCACUCGGCAAAGGACGUGUUUGCCGAGUGUCAAAAUGAAAACACUCGGCAAAUAUUAUACACUCGGCAUAAAUCCUAUUUGCCGAGCAGCCGACACUCGGCAAACAAUUGACACUCGGCAACUCUUAACCACGUGACCGGCACGUGCGGCGUCCGUUAGGGGGUGUGCCGGAUGUUAGUUCUUUGCCGAGUGUCCGCCGUCGACACUCGGCAAAGAUUGAAUAUUUACCGAGUGUUUCCUAGGACACUCAGCAAACAUGAAUAUGUGCCGAGUGUUUUUUCGACACUCGGCAAACAAGAAUAUGUGCCGAGUGUUUUUUGCGACACUCGGCAAAACCAAAACAAUUUUUCCCUCCUCCACCCUCCAAACUUUUUGUACUCCCCACGUAUGACAUUUGGCACUGCAUGUUAGAAGGUGGUCUAUUUCUUGACCUGUUUGUUAUAUUUAAUGAAUUAAUUUCAUUUAGAGAAAUUUGUUGAUUUAAGUCAAAUUUGAACUGCAAGUGAUUGGAAUGGAAUAAUAUGAGUGGAAAAAUCAUAUUCAUGUUAAUGAGUCCGAAUUGAGGUCUCAUCUGGGAAAUCAAAAGAAAUUUUGAACAUUUUGUUAAGAAAACACGACCACGAACGUGUGGCCGAAUGAUUUUUUAAUUCUCAAAAAUACAAACGAAGUUUGAAAAUCAUGAGAUUUGCCAAGAUGCUAUGAUUUCAUAUGUGGAGGCUGUGGUAAAAAAUUGAGAAGGUUUCGCACAAAUUUUGACAUAUGAUGCUUAGAAAUCGAAGCAUCUCCGGAGAGGAUUCGUAGAAGUUGGAAGGAUCCGGUAAGAUUUUGAGUCGAAUUGAUACUUGAAUUUGGCAUUGCGUUCAAUUUUUUUUUAUAGGCCAUAGACAACAUAGAUUGGUUCAUGUCAAAUUUUGGGAAUUUUUCGUAUCCAUUUGAUAAUUUUUAUUUAUUAAUUGCAAUUAUAUAAAUUUAAUAGAUAUAAAUUCAAUAUGAGCUAUAAAUCCAUGAAAUAAUGGAAUAAUAUUAGUAGAAAAAUGAAAUAGGCAUUGUUUAGUGAAUUUGACUAGGUUUUUGCAAAGUUUACAGACUUUAAAUUACUAAAACAUAUUAGUGAAAGUUUACACAUGAAAUAUAAGCGUACUUUGCUGAGUGUCGCAUCGAGGCACUCGGUAAAGCAGACACUCGGCAAACAUUUCCGCGGGCCACUUCCCAGCGAUGGUACCAUUCGAAAAUCUGAAAAAAAUAAAAAAUACCUUUGCCGAGUGCCCGUGAUCUAGCACUCGGCAAAGCCUGGAAAAUCCGAAAAAAAUAAAAAAGGCCUUUGCCGAGUGCCCGCGAUCUAGCACUCGGCAAAGCCUGGAAAUUAAUCCGGCCCACCCCCACCCUAACUCACGCACAUGCACACACCAAGUCACCCACACCCACACACCCACACGCGCCGCACGCGCCGCCCGUGUCGCCCGCCCACGCCGCCCGCCGGUCCCCGGCCCCCGGCUGCCGGACCCACGCCGCCCGCCGGCCCCCGGCCCCCGGCUGCCGGACCCACGCCGCCCGCCGGCCCCUGGCCCCUGGCCCCGCGCUACCCCCGGUCCCACGCCGCCGGACCCGCGCCGCCGGGUCCCCGGCCCUGCGCCACCCCCAACCGUCGGCCCCCGCGCCGCCCCCGGCCGCCGGCCCCCAGCCCCGGCGUGCCCCGCCCGUCCUCUCACCCCUCUCUGCCAGUGCCCCUCACCUCUCUUCUGGUAAUUCUUCAAUCUUUGUUCUUCAAGUUAGAAAAUUGAAAUUAGAAAUUAGAAAAGGUAGAGAGGUGGUAGGAUGAAUUAGAAAUUAGAAAAGGAUAGAAAAGAAUGUUUGACUUGGCAAUCUAAGGUAUAAGAACUGUAUGUGGAUGUCGGCCGAUAUUGGAUUGGCGACGGCGUAAUCGACACGACCUCUACUCGCACUCUCUCCCAGAUCCGAGCAAGGAGCACGGACUCGAGCCCGGCAAUACGGCCACGACCCACCACUGCACAGUUCCAGAUGGAGGCUCUCCAGGUUCUUUCUCUUCCAUUCAUCGUUCGUUCGUUGUUAUACUUUAGCUUUGCAUUAUAACAUUGCAAUGAAAUAUUGUAGGCCCAGGUGGAAGCAGCAAGGAAGCAACAAGAGGAGAUGGCGGCACAGAUGGAGGAGAUGCGGCGGAGGAUGGAGGAAGAAAAUCGGAUGAGGAUGGACCAGAUGUUCCAGUACAUGCAGAAUUUUGCUUCGAGCAUGGGUCAAUCUUUGCCUCUGCCACCGAUGAUGUUCCCUCCGCCUUAGCCACCCACAACUACUCCUGUGAGUCACUUGACACAUUGUGCUUAAGAUUGAAUACUUUAAUUUUGACAACUUUAGAUGUUAGCUUAGAAUGUCCUAUCCUAUGUGCAGAAUCAAUCGGCGGCUUCGAAUAAUGAAGAUCAAGAUUUGUCGCAGUGGUCUCCUUAGCCUCCACGGAACUAGACGACUUAGUUGUGAACUUGGAUGAAACUUAGUUGUGACUUGAACUUGGAUUUAUGGCUUUGUUUCAUGCUUAUGUUGGAUUAUGCCUGUGAUGUUUAUGAAUAAUGCUUGUAAUGGUGGUUGUGAAUUAUGCCUGUGAUUGUUUAUUACAAAUGCCUGUGAUGAUGUGUAUUGUGAAUUGAGAGGGAUCCGUUAUACGUGACAAAAUGGGUAAAAAAGGGGGUAUUGUCCACUUUGCCGAGUGUUACACUCAGCAAAGAGAGGCUUUGCCAAGUGUUUUGGCUUUAACACUCGGCAAAGGGGGGCAGUUGCACCGCCUGCUGUCUCUUCUUUGCCGAGUGUUUUGGCUAACACUCGGCAAAGGUCCACGUAUUUGCCGAGUGCCACGACCAUGACACUCGGCAAAGCGCCACGUAUUUGCCGAGUGCCAAGGCGCCGACACUCGGCAAACCUCCUCGUUUUCACCGUGUGCCUCAAGGCCGACACUCGGAAAAGAUUCAUCUUUUUGACGAGUGUAUGCCGUCUAGCACUUGGCAAACGCGCCAUUAACCUGGACGCCGUCACCGCUAUUUUCGCCGAGUGUGUUUUUGGCCGUCGGCAAAACGUUUGCUGAGUGCUCGAGGUUUGACACUCGGCAAACAUCUGUUUGCUGACACAAAAUUUGCCGUGUGCCGUAUGCCGAAUGUUACACUUGGCAAACUGUUUGCCGAGUGUUUUGGGUCUUCGCCGAAUGCCUGUGGCACUCGGCAACUUUACUGUUUCCCGUAGUGCACCUGCAUGGGGCAUCCCGUAGUGCACCUGCUUGGGGCACAGGGGUAAGUACACGCGCCAACACCUCUCUUUAUUCAACUGAUUUUUUUAAGAAUGCAACCUGUUGAUCACCCAUCACCGUGUGAAAUGAAACAAAAAUUAAGCUAUAGCUAGCAGAACUAAAAAAUUAAUAUUUGGUGACAGAGAUUCCACACCAGAACGGCACCUGGGUACCAUUGCAUCACCCGCUUGGGCCGUGCUCGCCGUCGCCAUCAGGUGACGCCGCGAAGCCGCCGUCCUUGGACGACCUGCUCCGGCAGGACCAGCUCCGCGUCGACCACAUCCACAGGAGGCUGUCGGGAGACGUCGGCGACGACAAGGGCUCCCACAAGCCUCCGGCUGACGCCGAAGUAAGCCAGGUUAACCACCAGCCCUCUGGUGAUUUCGGCGUGGGCUCCCCCAACACCAACUCCAAUGUAUGUAGGAACUGAUUUGAGUACCUGAAUUGGUUUUACUAUGAAAAAUCUUCCUCCAUCUUAACCUCACUAUCACUACUGUCUCUUACAAUGUCUUGCAGCCGCAGAGCAUUGAUCUGGCGGCGACCGGCGGCGGUCGGCCGAGGCUGCCUGGAGUGAUCCAGACGCUGGUGCUCGACACGGCGAGCGACGUGCCGUGGGUGCAGUGCGUGCCGUGCCCCAUCCCGCCGUGCCACCCGCAGACCAACACCUUCUACGAUCCGACCAAAUCUCCCACCUACGCCGCCUUCAGUUGCAGCUCCUCGCCCUGCCGGCAACUCGGCCCCUACGCCAACGGCUGCGUCAGCAACCAGUGCCAGUACAAGGUCACCUACCCCGACGCUCGUCGUCGUCGGGGACGUACGUCUCCGACGUGCUCACCAUCAACCCCACAAACUCCAUCGCCAAGUUCCAGUUCGGCUGCAGCCACGUCGAGCAGGGCACCUUCAACAACCGCACCGCCGGGAUCAUGGCGCUCGGCGGCGGCCCGGAGUCGCUCGUGUCCCAGGCCGCCUCCAUCUACGGCAACGCCUUCUCCUACUGCGUCCCGCCGACGGCGAGCCACAAGGGGUUCUUCCGCCUCGGCGUGCCGCGCGUUGCCGCCACCAGGUACGUGGUGACACCCAUGCUCAGGUACAAGCAGGUGCCCACGUUCUACCGCGUCCUGCUCCGGGACAUCGCCGUCGCCGGGCAGCGGCUCAACGUCCAGCCUGUGGUGUUCGCCGCCGGGUCGGUGCUGGAUUCCCGCACCAUCAUCAGCCGACUGCCGGCGACGGCGUACCAGGCGCUGCGGGCGGCGUUCAGGAACGCCAUGAGGAUGUACCGCAUGACACCCCCCAAGGGGAUCGGAGCCUGGAUACCUGCUACGACUUCACCGGCGUCGUCGGCACCGUCCGGCUGCCGAAGAUGGCGCUGGUGUUCGACCAGAACGCCGUCGUGGAGCUUGACCCGUCGGGGAUCCUGUUCAACGACUGCCUCGCCUUCAUCCCCAACCGCGACGACAACAUGCCUGGCAUCCUUGGCAACGUGCAGCAGCAGACGAUCGAGGUGCUCUAUGAUGUCGGCGGCGGGGCGGUAGGGUUCCGCCGUAACGCGUGCUGAGCGCGACGGCGGCCGGGAGGAUCCUCUGCUCUCGACGUACGAGCCGGGGAGUUUUUAAGCUGAUCCACACGCCUUUACAAGCAGUAAAUAAAACCAUGAUUUGCAUUGGUGCGAGGCUUUUGCCUAUGUAUAUGAUUUGCCUUUAAUUUAUCGUUGUGCUAUCCGGGUGGGGUGGUCUGGUGUAUUACCAUGUAUGUUUUUAUAAUUUAAUGCAUAACUCAUAUAUUAUGUUGUUUUUUAAGUUGUCCUAUAAUAAUUGCGUAAACCUCUAAAUCUAUAUGUGGAACAAAUAUAUGAUGCGAGUGUAUUGCAAACUUGUACAAUGGUUACGAAACCUCUUCAUCUUACGAGUCUAUUAGAGAUAUACAGCUUAAUUCUGGAAACGAAUGCUCCAAACUUCAUAGGCAAUCGACUAGUGGUCGCGUACGCUUAGAAGUCAGCAUCAUUUUCGGAAAACUUCACACACCUUCUUCUUCUAAGUAAUGGUGAGUACACUUAUGGUUGGUACUCAGCAAGGUCACAAGAGGUAACCAGAAUAACGAUUUAAGUCAAUCUUCAAGUUUAUUAAUCAUGUGAGGGUCCAGGCCGCUCUUGACGGUGAGCACGGCUGAUAUAUCAGUUUUACACUCUGCAAAGGUUGUACACUUUCACCACAAGUCACGUAAAAGUUCAGAAGAACUUUGGACCCAACCAUGCUGUGCAAAAGUAGGCACUUAUCACACUACCAAGGUGUGAAUGCAUAGGGACGCUACAAGGCCUUUACAAAGAUUACCUAAUAAGAAGUAGCCCGCUAAGGUUUCCGGAUCAGUAGCAAAGCAUAAAUCUCUCUCAAGACUGCGAAGCUACCAUAGUGCAGAUCAGUCUAAGGGUCGAGUUAUACCCCAUCUGCCGCCGCCCCCUUGCCCUUUCGGUAAGACCGCUUCAAACUAGAGUCUCUAAUUAAUUAGCCAAGAGCAGAGCCAUGUAGUUCUUGUGGUUGCACUAUUUUCUUGGGUGGUCGCUCUAUGUUCCGAUUACUGCAAGGUAUUUUGUAAAUAAGCAUAGAUAGAAGGAUGGUUAUGGACACUUACCUUUCUCCAACGAAAAGUUGCUCUUACUGCUCUUCAGUUCUUGCACUCUUGAAACUCUAAAUCUUCAAAGCUUUCGAAUAACAAUCUUUCUACUCGAAGCAAUCACCGGCAUAAACAUACAAGCAAACAAACAAGUACAACUAAGAACAAUAUACCAAUCAAAGAAAGGCUUUAAAAGAAUGCACUAAAGGAUAGGGCUCGAUUCUAGGAUCACACGAACGCGAGGACCUAAGGUUGAAAAGGUAUAACUAUCGAGAGAUUUGGAUUAUAAAAUAAAAGACAAGAGCUACAUGCUUCAUUCAUUUUAAUUGAGAAAAACAAUAUAAAGAUAUUUUAGAGAAAUAUCCUUAGUUGGAAUUAAUCAAGUCAUAUUUACAUAUGAAAAUAUGAUGUAAAGCUUAGUCCAAUUUUAUUUAUGAAUAUUUAAGUACAAAUUUAAGCAAAUGAAACAUUUGAUUUUAAGAGCAGCAUGUAAAAGCAUCUAAGCGUACAACUUUAUGAUUCAGGUUGAACUAACCAAAUAUAAUUAAAAACACAUUUAUAUUCAUAUUAGUCAAAUUAACAUUUAAUUAUGAAAACCCGAGAUAUAUCUUAUGUAGCUUUUAUUUAUAAAACAAUUGAAUAAGGAUUAAUCAAAUUGAGUUCACUCAUGAACAACCGUGGUGUAGCACUUAAUUAGAUUUUAUUAAUAAAAACUAGUUCAAUAGGUAUUAAUGAAAUUAACACUUAAUUAUGAAAACGAGGUAAAGAUAUAAAUAGCUUUUGAUUAGAAAAUGAGUGCAUAAGAAAUUAAUCAUAUUAGUAUUUUAAAUAAAUUACAAAAUAGGGAACAUGAUUAACAUUGCUUCUAAUCACGUCAUUUAAGUUGAUAUGAAUCUAAUGAAACAAGACCAAGGAUUAACGGAGCUAAAAUAUGGAAUCUACGAGCUAAACAAGCUGCAGGGGUCUAAUCGUGAUUAACCCUAGACAACAGGGGCUAGCAAAGAAUAAACCUUAGACUUAGAUCUGCAAAAGGAUAGGGCUAGGAUUAGAUUGAAAGGAUCUAAAAGGUUUAGGGGUUCUCUGGGAAAGGAUCAUGACUCAAAAGAAGCCUACAGAAAUACGGAUCUCUCUGAGGACCUAACUGCAAAAGCUUAGGGCUCUAAUGGCCAUGGCGAACAGCGGCUCUGGGCUCGCCUUCGAUUCGGGCGGUGAGAGGCUUGUCCGGCAUGGGGAAAUGGAGGAGGAGGAGGUCAAGGGGAUCAUGGGGGUGUGCUCACUGGCGGCGGGAGAGACGGAGGUGGCCGGAAUUUGGUGGAGACGGCGGCCAGCUCGAUUCUCGCGGACGGGUGACGCUCCGGCGAUGAGAAGAUACAUCUGUGUUGGCGGGUGCUUAGGUCGCCCACCAGCAUAGUGGCAUCUAUGCUGGCGGAUGCUCUCCCGCUGGCCCAAGGAAGCUUUAUGCUAGUGGGUGCCAAUCACGCCCGCUAGCACACUAAAUUCCCUAUACUAGCACAAAUCAAUUCUGGCGUAGUGUCAUGUAGCCUUGAACGGGAAAUUUUUCCUUUUCUUUAUGAAUACACACAUUAUUAAAGUAUCCAUCCACUCAAAAAGCCUUGUUUUGGGUUUUGUGUUAGUUUGUUUAAACAUUGGUGAUCGUUACCAUCUUUUGACGUAAAUUGAUCUUAUGAAAGAAUAGAAUUAUCUUGAAAUUAAAGUCGAUGUCAUAGUAUAACACAAAUUCUCUACAUUUUGCAUAGAUUUAUAUACGCUAGUAAUGAGUAAUCAAGAUAAUGUAUUGGCAACCAUGCAUGUUGUCAAUAUCUAAUAAAAUGAAACUAUUUUGUGACUGUGCCGGAGGGAGUAUGGUUCUUCAAUGCUCCUGCCACUCAUUAGUUGUAUUAAAUGAUCCGGAUAUGAAGUCGUUGACGCAUGGCUGCCAGCAUUUGAGUAAAUUUUGCGAUAGGCAUCUGGGUUUCUUUUGCUAAAACAGUUUCUAAAAGUGGCUGCCCACCUCCAACAAUAAUCCCAUCCCAAGUCUGCUAGUUCUUUUAAAAACGUUGAAAGGGCCCGUGCCUAGCUCUUAUAAAAUUAUUGACGAUAAGAAUAGAAUAAAAAUGAUUGUGCUAACCCAGAGCUGACACGGACUAGUCUUUUGCUUUCCGGAUAGAUGGAGAUCAUUAGUGCUCUCUUUUUCCUAUGGCCAAAUAUAAUGAUACUCUCUUCUUUACUUGUCGGACAUUAUAUUGGCAUCAUAACGAUCACACCAUGCAUGGAAGUCAUCUCCCGUGCCCAUCAUGCAUAUGCAUCGACGAGCAAUAUUGAACAAACUCGCCACUGCCAGUGACCGCCCUCUCCCUUGCCACACGCUGCGUGCAUGUGUUCUUACCAGCCAGGUUUUGCAGAGGAGGUCAGGGACGUAUGGAUCCAAUGCCAUGAGGCAGCCCCGGCACGCGAUCACCGGCUAAACCUUAAGGGUGUGUUUGGUUGGUUGUAUCAUUUGAUUCAUGUAUGAAAUGAUUCAAAAUAAUAAUGAUCCUUUUGUUUGGUUGGGUGAAUUGGACCAACUCAUCCAGGAUGAGGCCAUCCCACUUAGUACAUUAUUCUACUAAUUAGAGUGAACCAUAUGGUACAAGUAAAUUAAUUGAACCAUCCCAUCCAGGAUCAUCCAUGUAUGCAUCAUGUGGUGCAUGCAACCAAACACACCCUAAGAUACCCCGUAGGGCUUGCUAAAUUUUUAGGGUGUCAAUAAGGCUAUAUAUGUUAAAUCUCUAAAAUUUAGAGUUUGCAAGCACAAGUAAGAAAUCUAUCAAUGUCAAGAUAUAACAUUGUAAGAAAACGAAUUAGAGUUUACAAUUUUAAAAAAAUCUAACCUAUAUGGCCUUCCCUUUCUCCAAUGACGUUGUCUUGUCUCUCACUUUGAAGCAUCAUACUCCGGAGAUUACUAAGUUCUGGAUUUUUUUUUCCUCUGAGCAGUUUACGCCCAUAAGAACAUCACUUCAUCAAUUUAUGAAGGAAACACCGAAUGCAUGGUUGCCUUUUGAGAUCACGAUAUCUGUAAUAAUUGUGAUUAGGAGCUCUGCAGCAUGGAGGAGUCCUUAGAAGGUUCCUUUCUCCGCUUUUCCAAUGUUUAUAAUUGGUGGUACAUCAUCUUUGCAUUUUGAAGGGCUAUAAAAGAUCUAUAUUUAUCGUUCUAGACAUUACAGCUAAGUCAUUGCAGCCAUAAAGACCUUCAAAACAGUAAAGAGUUUUCUUUGAGCCAAAUUCAAUUAAGAAUCAGUACGCGUGUUUCAUGCAUGACUAUAAAACACUUUAGAAAGAGUACCUUCGUUCCUUUGGUAUAGUUGCUUUGGAACUUCUUUUCUUUGUCAAUGCACACACUAUCAAUGCAAAUUAUUUGAUGCUCUAAUGCUAAUCUUUUGGCCAUGAAACAAAGAAUUAGAAAUGAGCCACAUAUUAGGCAAAUAAGGAAGCGAUAUAAAUUCCGAUGGGAAAUAAGGAACUUUCCCUCGUAAGCAUGCAUCACACGGCAGGUAUGACCGUAUGACACGCUCAUCAUCAGCCAGCGAAAGCUAAUACGAUUUGUUACUGCGGUUCACUUGUCACAGUAAAACUUCAACUUGAGUUAUGCCCUUCCGUGGGUAAUUAAAAUAAGCUCAUUCAUGAAAUUAUCAAGAAAAAUAAACGUCCUCUGAUUUGAGUGCGACCUUUCAUGCAUGGCAUGUGCUUUGAUUUUUAGCUUCUAGCAGCGCGCUUACAGUGGGAUGAAAACAAAAUCAAGAAGACCUUUGUCGUCUCUACUUGUUAUUAAUGCUGGACUGAAAACACAUGCAUGGAAAGGAAAAAAACUGCAUAUUUUGUAUUGGUAGGAAUGAAGUGCAAAACAUAAUAAAACUAUAAACUUACGAAAAUUUGGAUAGAAAUGCAGGCAAAAUUUGUGAAUCGGAAGAGACAAAAGGACAUAAGAAAAUAUUUUUGUGCAUGUGAAAACUCUUUAAAAACUCUUGUGGAAUGAGCUAUUCCUAGAAGAACCAUAUAUAAUUGGAAGCAUAAAGAGUAAGGCACCUGCCCAUGCUUCAAUUAUGCAUGCAUAUUGGCACCUGGAGCAUUAUUCUUUGAUUUAACUAUUAGGUACGUGUUUGUGCCUAUAAAUUUUGCCCAGAGACCAUGGAAACUUCAAGGCAUGGUCGAGCAGUCCAAACAAGCAAGCAGAGCCAUGGUUUGGGUUUUGGCGCCACUGCUGCUCCUCCUCGUGUCAGCUGGUUCUUCUCCAGGUGCCCAUGCAGCAGAUCAUGAUGGAGACGACUACAUGAUGGUGGCAAUGAACUCGCUGAGACCGGAAGCCACCUGCUUGGGGCACAGGGGUAAGUAUAUACCUCUCCUUGUUCAACUGCUGAUUUUUUAGAAUGCAAUUAACCUGUUGAUCACCCAUAUCACCGUGUGAAAUGAAACGAAAAUUAAGCUAUAGCAGAACUGAAAAAUUAAUAUUUUUGGUGACAGAGAUUCCACCGCAGAACGGCACCUGGGUACCAUUGCAUCACCCGCUUGGGCCGUGCUCGCCGUCGCCAUCAGGUAAGCCGCCGUCCUUGGACGACCUGCUCCGGCAGGACCAGCUCCGCGUCGACCACAUCCACAGGAGGCUGUCGGGAGACGUCGGCGACGACAAGACGGGCUCCAACAAGGAAUCGGCUGACGCCGACGUAAGCCAGGAGUACCACCAGCCCUCUACUCAGUUCAACGUGGGCUCCACCAGCAAAAACUCCAAUGUAUGUAGGAACUGAUUUGAGUAUCUGAAUUGGUUUCGCUAUGAAAAAUCUUCCUGGAUCACUACUGUCUCUUACAAUGUCUUGCAGCCGCAGAGCAUUGAUCUGGCGGCGACCGGCGGCGGUCGGCCGAGGCUGCCGGGAGUGAUCCAGACGCUGGUGCUCGACACGGCGAGCGACGUGCCGUGGGUGCAGUGCGUGCCGUGCCCCAUCCCGCCGUGCCACCCCCAGCAGGACACGUUCUACGACCCGACCAAGUCUCCCACCUAUGCCGCCUUCCGCUGCAGCUCCUCGCCCUGCCGGCAACUCGGCCCCUACGCCAACGGCUGCGUCGGCAACCAGUGCCAGUACAAGGUCACCUACCCCGACGGCUCGUCGUCGUCGGGGACGUACGUUUCUGACUUGCUCACCAUCAACCCCACGAACUCCAUCGCCAAGUUCCAGUUCGGCUGCAGCCACGUCGAGCAGGGCACCUUCAACAACCGCACCGCCGGGAUCAUGGCGCUCGGCGGCGGCCCGGAGUCGCUUGUGUCCCAGGCCGCCUCCAUCUACGGCAACGCCUUCUCCUACUGCGUCCCGCCGACGGCGAGCCACAAGGGGUUCUUCCGUCUCGGCGUGCCGCGCGUUGCCGCCACCAGGUACGUGGUGACACCCAUGCUCAGGUACAAGCAGGUGCCCACGUUCUACCGCGUCCUGCUCCGGGACAUCGCCGUCGCCGGGGGGCGGCUCAACGUCCAGCCUGUGGUGUUCGCCGCCGGGUCGGUGCUGGACUCCCGCACCAUCAUCAGCCGACUGCCGGCGACGGCGUACCAGGCGCUGCGGGCGGCGUUCAGGAACGCCAUGAGGAUGUACCGCAUGGCACCCCCCAAGGGGAGCCUGGACACCUGCUACGACUUCACCGGCGUCGUCGGCACCGUCCGGCUGCCGAAGAUCACGCUGGUGUUCGACAAGAACGCCGUCGUGGAGCUUGACCCGUCGGGGAUCCUGUUCAACGACUGCCUCGCCUUCAUCCCCAACCGCGACGACAGCAUGCCUGGCAUCCUUGGCAACGUGCAGCAGCAGACGAUCGAGGUGCUCUAUGAUGUCGGCGGCGGGGCUGUAGGGUUCCGCCGUAACGCGUGCUGAGCGCGAUGGCGGUCGGGAGGAUGCUCUGCUCUCGACGUAUGAGCCGGGGAGUUUUCAAGCUGAUCCACAUGCCUUUACAAGCAGUAAAAAUAAAGCCAUGAUUUGCAUUGGUGUGAGGCUUUUACCUAUGUAUAUGAUUUGCCUUUAAUUUGUCGUUAUGCUAUACGGAUGGUCUCACGUAUUACCACGUAUUUUUUUUAUAAUUUAAUGUAUAACUGAUAUAUUGUUUUGUUUUUUAAGUUGUCCCAUAAUAAUUGUGUAAACCUCUAAAUCUACAUAUGUGGAAUAAAUAUAUGACGUGAGUGUAUUGCUAACUUGUAUGAUGGUUACGAGUCUAUCAAAGAUAUACAAUUUAAUCCAAGGCUCCAAAUUUCAAGCAAUCGACUGGGUCACGUACGCUUAGAAUUCAGCAUCAUCUACAGAAAACUUCACACACCUCCUUGUUCUUCUUCUGAGCAAUGAUGAGUAUACUUAUGGUUAGUGCUCAGCAAGGCUACAGGAAAUAACCAGAAUAACGACUUAAGUCAAUCUUCAAAUUUAUUAAUCAUGUAAGAGUCCAGGCCACACUUGACCUUGAGCACGGCUGAUAUAUCAAAGUCGCCACUGAUAGUGACCGCCCUCUCCCUUGCCACACACUUCGUGCAUGUUAUUACCAGCCAGGUUUUGCAGAGGAAGUCAGGGACGUAUGGAUCCAAUGCCAUGAGGCAGCCCCGGCACGCGAUCACCGGCUAAACCUUAAGAUACCCCGUAGGGCUUGCUAAAUUUUUAGGGUGUCAACAAGGCUAUAUGUUAAAUCUCUACAAUGGGGGUAUUUGAUACAGGUGCUAAACUUUAGCAGUGUCACAUACGAUGUUUGGAUACUAAUUAGGAGGACUAAACAUGAGCUAAUUAUAAAACUAAUUGCAGAACCCUGUGCUAAUUCACGAGACGAAUCUAUUAAGCCUAAUUAAUCCAUCAUUAGUAAAUAGUUAUCAAAUCAUGGACUAAUUAGGAUUAAUAGAUUCGUCUCGUGAAUUAGACUCCAUCUAUGCAAUUAGUUUUAUAAUUAGCCUAUGUUUAAUACUCCUAAUUAGCAUACAAACAUUCGAUGUGAUAGGUGCCAAACUUUAGCAUGGGAUAUCCAAACACCUUGCAAGCACAAGUAAGAAAUCUAUCAAUGUCAAGAUAUAACAUUUUUUUGAAGAAAUAGGAGGGGUUCAGGACCCUACUAGUUAUAUGUAACACCCCGUCCACCAAAGCCGCAUCGCCCAGCCCUUCCGAGGGGUGGGCACACGUACACAUAGCACCCUGCUUACACUUUCGUCCUCGCUUCAUGUAAAAGGGUUAACCCGAAGGUGCUAUGGCUGGUUGACAAAGGCUUAUAAGUUGGCUUCACUCUUACUCAACUAGCAAGGUGGUACUAAACAUGCGCACCUGCACUCAUGGGCCACACUGGGCCAAACAAAUUGGGCCGGAUGUCACAUUCACCCCCCUCAAAGAACCCGACGUCCUCGUCGGUCCAACUCACCCACGCAUGGGCAAAUGUUCAGGAACGUUCCCUCUAAGCGCACGACUGUACAUCCAGUGCCGGUGUCAUAUGCCAUGCCGUGUGUCCCAUCCUGGGCCCACAUGCGCCAUGCGCCAUAUGCCCGCACAUUGACUCGUAUGCGCAACCGUGAGGGUCGGCUCUGAUACCAUUUGUAACACCCCAUCCACCAAAGCCGCACCGCCCAGCCCUUGUGAGGGGCGGGCACGCAUACACAUAGCACCCUGCUUACACUUUCAUCCUCACUUCGUGUAAAAGGGUUAACCCGAAGGUGCUAUGGCUGGUUGACAAAGGUUUAUAAGUUGGCUCCACCCUUGCUCAACUAGCAAGGUGGUACUAAAUAUGAGCACCUGCGCUCAUGGGCCACACUGGAUCAAACAAAUUGGGCCGGAUGUCACAUUAUAUAUUAGCAUAAAGAAAUGACAUUCAUGUUACAAUAAAAAGCAAGUGGCAAAACCAAAUAAGAAGGAAAUAGUGAAAAAGGAGGAGAACCCCUUGAGAUUACAACGUAUGCAGCCACACCACCUCCAUUAGCUGAACUAGGCUCGGUCGAGCUCUGAGUAGGAGAUAUGAAAAUUCCGAAGAGAACUUUUCUUUGCAGAUUAGGGGUGAUGGGUCAACAGAGUUGAACAUCCAACUAUUUCUUGUCGUCCAAAUGCUCCACGCCAUCAAAAUGACUAUUUCCAUGUAGAAGGGAACCCCCAACUUGUUUUUUAUUUGAUUAAUAAUAUUCCAGUGGGUUCUAGUGGAGAUGUAUGUAACACCAAUGGAGUUCCAACAUGCUUUGGCAAAGCUGCAUCGAAAGAAGAGGAGGUUUGUUGUUUCCCUACGCUGUAGGUUGCAUAGUUCGUAGGUGUAUGAGUCUAGCUCCAUGCUCUUUCUUCCUAACAGGUCUCUUGUGCACAACCGAUCUUUUAACAGUAGCCAGAAGAAGACCUUGUUUUUCAUCUAACAUCAUGUUCUCCAUACCCAACAAAAGGAUGGAUGCACAUUUCUUUGCUCUAUGAUGGCCUUGUAAGCUUUGGCCAUGGAGAAGAUAGACGUUCCCCAAAUAUAGGUCCACUUGUCGGCCUCCAUCUCCGGAUUUAUGGCAAAGAUGUGUUGUUGCAGAUUAUUGAAUUGGUCGUGGGAUUGCGUUGAUAGGGGCAGGUUGAAGUUGUGAAUGAGCUGUGGUCUUGCCAAGGCUUCUUUGUAGGUAAUAUUGCAGUUUGUGGUGAAAGAGUAUAGUUCAGGGUAGGCUUGGCAUGGUAUGAUUCCAUUCCAUAGGUCUUGCCAAGAUUAGAAUGGUGGAGCCACCUGCAAUGGAGAUAGAAGCAAUUCCUUUGUAUUUGUCCAUUAGCUUGACUACAUCUUUCCCAAAAGGAUCAUUUGUCCUACUGCCCCGGCAAUCUUUCAUUGGUGUAGUAAUUAUCCCAAACUAGCCUGACCCAUGGGGUGUCAGCUUUGGUAUAGAACUUGUCCAAGAAUUUAAGCAGCAGGGCAUCGUUAUCUGCAUUGAUAUUGGCUACUCCUAGUCCUCCUUGCCUCUUUGGAAGACAUACCAUCGGCCAUGCCGCUUUGGAUGGCUUUUUGGACUUUAGGUCUGAGCCUUUGCAACUACCUUAUGACCCCCUUAUGGAGUUUCAGAGUGGAAGUGUAGAAGACAACAAAAGAUGAGAGCACUGAAUUGACCAUUUCUAAUUUACCUCCCUGACUCAAGAACAUGGAAGUCAAAUUUAGCCUUUUCUCAACUUUCUGAAUCAACGGGAAGAAAUUCUCAAUUUUGGGCUUGACAAUUCCAAGUGGCGGCCCCAAGUAUGUGAAAGGUAGUGAUCCUUGUUGGCAAUCAAAUACUGUAGCCAAAUUUUUCAAAGUCUCCUCAAAUAUGUUCAGGGGCACCAUCACUGAUUUGUAAUAGUUAACUUUCAGACCUGUCGACAGAGCAAAUGUAUAUAGGAGUUCUUUGAGUAACAGCAGCUACCUGGGGCAUGCUUCCAUGAUGUGGACGGUGUCAUACGCAUACUUUAUAAUUGGGAAAUCUGUACCUGCCCCCUCUGGAAUUGGCAGGUUAAUGUUGCCUUGAUCCUUUUCUCGAUUUAGGAUUAUUUGUUGUAGGUCUUUUGCUAGAACAAAUAGGAGGGGAGAUAGAGGGUCUCCUUGCCUCACUCCUCUUUUGCAGUGAAAAACUUUCCCUGGUACGCCAUUCAGGAGGACCGAUGAUGUUCCUGAGUUUAGAAUGCCCUUGAUCCAUUGCAGCCACCUUUUCCCUUUUGGAAGUUUUACAGAUGUGAAGGUAUUCAUAAGCCCAUGCUAGGCAGUCAUGGAUGGUCCUUGUUUUGAUGAAUCUAUAUUGGUUUUUAUGGACCAGCCUCAUGAUUGCAAUCUCUCUACUAGCAAUUUUGUGAGUAACUUGAUUGUUGAGUUAAGAAUUGAAAUUGGCCUAAAAUCUCCAACAGUGGUGGGGGGUAUUUCUUGGGCACCAAAGUGAUGUAGGAUGAGUUUAUGCUCUACAGACAUAACUUCCCUUCAAAGAAGUCCUCAACAAGCUUAUAAAAUUUCGGUGCUAUUAGGUUCCAACUUUUCUUCAAGAAUUCCCUAUUAAAUCCAUCGUGUCCCGGUGAUUUAUCAUUAGGUAAGUCAGAGAUGACCCUGUCAAUUUCUUCCUUGGUGAAAGGUUCUUCCAACCAUUGAAGGUUAUCAUAUGGAUGUAAGAGGGUCUCAAGAUUGAAGUACAUAUGUGUAAACUCUGACAUGCCCAUUCUGUCCUUAAAGGAAUUCCAUAGUAGCUGAGCCUUGGCCUCAUGAUUAAAAAUUUGACCUCCAUUUCCAUCUGAGAGUUGUGUGAUGGUAUUUCUUCUAUUUCUUAUUGAGGAAUUGGCAUGGAAAAAACUUGGUGCAUUCGUCCCCUUUGUCUCUAGUAUAUUCUUUGCUGGUUCAGUAGUUUCCCUAGGUGGUUGGAAAUAAUGUUUCCGAAGUUCCAUUCUUCAAGUGAGAGAUCCCUUGUUUCUUCCAUUAUAUCCAUUAAUUGUAGCAAAUCUUUUGUAUUUUGGAUUGCAGCUGCUAAGUUGGGGAGCUGAGCCAUCCAGGCUUGAACACUCUCUUAGGUUCUUAAACUUUGCAGUGAUCUUUUUUGCAGAGUCGGAGUGCUCAUUCGGAAGAUGCCAACCAUGGGAUAACAUUGGGAGAAAACUUUCAUGUUCUAGCUAGUAGUUCUCAAAUCUUAAUAUGUGUGGCUUUGGAACAUUUGUUGAUGUCGUUAUUACGCAGGGUGUGUGAUCCGAAGUAUCUCUUGACAAUCCUGAAGCAAAAGUAUUCGGAAAGCUAGUUGUCCACGCAUUUGAUGUGAAGAACCAAUCUAGCCUCUCUAGUAAGGGUUUUCUCUAUUUAUUUGUCUAGGUGUAUUUGCACCCUUCUAGGGGAAGCCAACAUCUCUUGGCAAUUCCCUCCUAAUUUAUUCCUAUCCCGUGGCUUUCUAAUUAAAUUGAAAUCCUCAAUUAUAAGCCAUUUUUCUUCAUUAGGCAUAUCAAUUCAUUUGAACCAUUGCAGAAAGGUUGUUUUCCCUUCAGAUGUGCAGGGGGCAUAUAUGUUUGUUAGAAACCAGGAUUCUCUGGUUAACUUUCAUGUGAGUUGGACAGACUGGGCAUAUUCAUUCUGAAAGUCCAGAUUGCUAGUGAAUUUUGUGCUGCUCCAAACAAUGAUAGAUCCUCCAGAAUUCCCUAUUGAUGGAAGGAAAGUAAAAUGAUCCAUAGAGGCUGGACAAAAUUUUUUAAUGUAUGUAACAUCAAAGAAUUCCUUUUUAGUCUCUUGUAGACAUAAGAUAUCAAUUUUGAUUCAGAGAUCUUGCUUCUGACAACAUCCCACUUUCCUUCAGAGUUUAUUCCUCCGAUAUUCCAUGAUAAGAUAACCCACUUCCGUUUAUGUUGCUCUGGAUUCAUAUUUAACUGUUGAAUGAGUAUCCCCUUCAAAAUAAAGAAUGCCUGAGAAGGACCCAACAACACUCAAAUCAGAGAAAGGAGACACUAGUAGAGAACUAACUUUCGAUGCGCCCCCUUUUGUCCCGAUUUAAAGUUGGCCCAGGACAAAAGGGGGUGCGCCACGGUAGGCAAAAAUGGAGGGGAGAUUUACUCCCGGUUGGUAUUUGCAACCAGGAUUAAAGGCCCCCCUUUAGUCCCGGUUGCAACAGCUAGUUCCAGAGUGUCGGUGGGGUGACCCUUUUGUCCCGGUUGGAGCCUCCAACCGGGAGUAAACUUUCAACCGGGACAAAAGGUGUUCCUUUUUGUCUCGAUUGGAGUUUUUAACCGGGAUAAAAACUCAUCCCCAUUAUAUACCAAGACAGAGGCCUUUCUUCCUCCUCCAGCCUGAGCUAGUCCACCACAUAGACAGAGAGCUGAGCUUCACCACUCCCCGGUGGUGCCGAAGCAAGGGAGGUGCUGCCCGAAUUUUUUUUCCUCAUUUUCGUGGGAAUUUCACUCAGCCAACACAAGUGUUGUGAAGGUUUGCUACUUCAUCCUCUUGUUACGCUUUGAUUUAUGCUUUGGAGAUGGAAAUUAAGUUUAUUUGCUAGAAUGUGAUGAAGUAGAAAAUGGAGAGGUAUUUUGAGCUAGAAUGUGAGGGAGAUUGAUGUGUCAUAUAUAGUAUGUAUUCUUGCAGUGGGUUAAGAAUGAUGCUACCUUGUCUAGACGGUUUAUCUUAUCAAAUUCAAUAUGAUUUUUCAAAUCCAUACUUGUUGAACUUGCAGACCGUGUUCAUCUCUGCGAGGAUGUUCUCCACCGAGCAGCAACGUAUGUCAAGAAGGAGGUUUGAUUUUACGAGAAAGAGUGGAUACGGACAUCGUGACCGUGUCCCCUUUUCCGUAAAAUCAAACCUCUUUCAUGACGAAGUACGGUGCCGCCCAGUUGAGGACAUGCUCGCGAGAUAAUUACGGUCUUCAAGUUCAACAACUUCUACAGUUCUAAGGAAAGAAUUUUUGUACAUAGAUAGCUUCUGCUACUGGAGGAAGUAGCGAUGGUGGGGGCGAUCGUCGUUCCUCUUUCGGCAAGGGGAAAAUCAUAGUUGGCCCUCAGCAUAAGCCAAAGAAAAUGAGCGCGUUGGAAAAAGCAAUGCUUCAUUAUUUGCAGAAACGUCAUGAAGAAGCUGUUGCCGUGGGUCAGGAACCUCCUUUUGGUGGUUGUUAUGCUCCACCCUCAGUCCCGGGUGUUUCACGUCCACUUAGUACUACCGUUUCAGGCGGCACAAAUAAUCCACAGGAUGAGGCUGGGUCAGCGGAACCUUCGUCUUCACUGCCCAAGGAUGCUUAAAGUCCUCCUAGAUAAUAACCAGUGGAUGGCUUGUUGUAUUGUAUCAUGUUGUUUGGAUCUUUAAUUUAAAUAUGUGUAUUUGUAUCCAUAUCUAAACUUUCAACAUUAUUUGCACUACAACGUUUGACAUGCUUUCAAUCGUGAAUCCAUUUUCAAGUGUAAUCAAUUUUCACGCGUAAUCCAUUUUCAAGUGUAAUCAAUUUUCACGCGUAAUCCAUUUCCAAGUGUAAUCAAUUUUCACGCGUAAUCCAUUUCCAAGUGUAAUCAAUUUUCACGCGUAAUCCAUUUUCAAGUGUAAUCAAUUUUCACGCGUGAUCCAUUUUCAUGCGUAAUACGAUGCAGAUGGACUGGAAAUGGAUGUAUAAUGCAGACAGACGGAACAAGGUGUUUAUUGAUGGCUUGCAUUAUUUUCUCGAAGUGGCCAAAGCGAACAAGCUAGAGAAUGGGUUCGUAUGUUGUCCAUGCUUCCAAUGCAAUAACAAGAAGGACUAUUCAAAGGAUUCCUGGGGGACUAUUCACAGCCACUUGUUUAGAUACGGUUUCAUGCCUAACUAUUUGGUUUGGACCAAGCACGGUGAAAGAGGGGUUGUAAUGGAAGAUGGCAAGGAGGAGGAGGAGGAUGGCAACAUUCCGGACUGGGUUGCAGGCCAAGCUUUUGCAGAUACUACAAUGGGCGAGGGUGAUGAAGAUGAGUUUGCAGAAAAUGGCCCUACUGAUGACCUUGGUCAGGUGCUACGAGAUGCACACAGAGAUUGCGAAACUGAGAAGAAAGCAGCAAAGUUGCAGCACAUGAUAGAUGAUCACCAAAAAUUGUUGUACCCAGAUUGCUAGCAGGGUCAUAAAAAACUAGGUACGACACUAGAAUUUGUGCAAUGGAAGGCAAAAAAUGGUGUGUCCGAUAAGGCAUUUCAGAGGAUGUUGAACAUUGUCAAGAAGAUUCUUCCCGACAAUAAUGAAUUACCGUCCAGAACAUAUGAAGCUAAACAGAUUAUUUGCCCUCUCGGAUUGGAUGUUCAGAAGAUACACGCAUGCCCUAAUGACUGUAUCCUCUAUCGUGGUGAUGAAUACGAGAAAAUGGAUGCUUGUCCCGUCUGCGAAGCGCUGCGGUAUAAGAUCAGGCGAGAUGAUCCUGGUGAUGUCGAGGGGAAGUCUCCCAAGAAAAGAGUUCCUGCGAAGGUGAUGUUGUAUUUCCCUAUAAUACCACGCUUGAAGCGCUUGUUCAGGAACAAGGCAAAUGCUAAGUUGAUGCGAUGGCACAAAGAACAACGUAUGGAAGAUGAGAUGCUGAGACACCCCGCAGAUGGGGCCCAGUGGAGAUCAAUUGAUAGAACAUUCCCGGACUUUGAAAGUGAAGCAAGGAACAUAAGGUUUGGUUUAAGUACUGAUGGAUUCAAUCCAUUCGGUGAGUUGAGUAGUGGCCAUAGUACUUCUCUUGUGACCCUAUGUAUGUUCAACCUCCUCCUUGGUUGUGCAUGAAGCGGAAGUUCAUUAUGAUGCCGGCGCUUAUCCAAGGCCCAAAACAACCCGGCAACGACAUUGACAUGUACCUAAGACCAUUGGUUGAUGACCUUUUACAGCUCUGGAAGGAAGAAGGUGUACGUGUGUGGGAUGAGGAUAGAUAAGAGAUCUUUAAUCUACGAGCAUUGCUGUUCGUAACCAUCAAUGAUUGGCCUGCAUUGAGUAACCUUUCGGGACAGACAAAUAAGGGAUAUCGGGCUUGCAUCCACUGUUUAGACGACACAGACAGCAUGUAUUUGAAGCACUGUAAGAAGGUCGUAUAUAUGGGUCAUCGUCGAUUUCUCCCUGCUCACCACCAGCUAAAAAAAAGCGGGAUGCAUUUCAAAGGGGCGUUAGACCAUCGUAAAAAACCUGCACACCAUAAUAGAAAGCGUGUCUUUGAGAUGAUAAAGGAUGUAAAUGUAGUCUUUGGAAAGGGUCAUGGUAGUCAACCUGUUCCGAACGACGAUAAUGGACGUGCACCCAUGUGGAAGAAAAAGUCAAUAUUUUGGGAGCUACCUUAUUUGGAAAUCCUAGAUGUUCGCAACGCAAUAGACGUGAUGCACCUGACAAAGAAUUUUUGCGUGAACGUGCUAGGCUUCAUGGGUGUUUAUGGGACCUCGAAAGAUACAUUGGAAGCACGACAGGACCUAAAAACCAUGGGGCAACGAGAUGACCUACAUCCGGAGAAGAGAGAUAAUGGACAGCACUACUUACGUCCUGCCAGUUACACUCUCAGCAAGGAAGAGAAGGAUACUAUCUUUGAAUGCUUGAAUUGUAUGAAGGUCCCAUCUGGGUACUCCUAGAAUAUAAAGGAAAUAAUAAAUAUGAAACAAAAGAAGUUUACAAAUCUCAAGGCCCAUGACUGCCACAUGUUGAUGAUCCAGUUGCUUCCGGUUGCACUGAGGGGUGUUCUACUAGAAAAUGUCUGGUUGCCGCUCAUAAAGCUAUGCGCGUUUCUCAAUGCGAUUUCAUAGAAGGCAAUCGAUCCAUCCAAGCUAUCAAAGCUACAGAACGAUCUGGUGCAAUAUCUUGUUAGUUUUGAGUUGUUAUUUCUACCAUCCUUCUUCGAUAUUAUGACGCACUUACUGGUUCACCUAGUAAAAGAGAUUGGUAUUCUUGGACCUGUAUACCUGCACAAUAUGUGGCCUUUUGAGAGGUUCAUGGCAGUCCUAAAAAACUAAGUUCUUAAUCAUGCCCGUCCAGAAGGAAGCAUUGCCAAGGGAUAUGGAACAGAGGAGGUGAUCGAGUUUUGUGUUGAUUUUAUUGAUUCAAUUGACUCGAUUGGGGUUCCAACUUCACGCCACGAGGGGAGGCUCCGGGGAAUGGGCACCCUUUGAAGGAAAUCAAGUUUGAGCAAUGAUACUAAUUUAUUCGAAAAGGCACACUACACUGUUCUACAACAAGCAUCCUUUGUGUCUCCGUAUAUUGAGCAACACAGGCAGAUGGUAGUUUCCAAAAACCCGACCAAAUCCGAUGCUUGGCUUACACGUCAUCACAUGGAAACUUUUCCCUCCUGGUUGUGCCAACAACUUAUGGGUAACUCUGAGAUUCACCCACAGCUCGCUUGGUUAGCCAGGGGACCUGCUAGCACAAUCGUGAAAUUCCAAGGCUAUGAGAUAAAUGGUUAUACAUUUUACACGAGAGCCCAGGACCAAAAAAGCACGAACCAGAAUAGUAGUGUUCGCAUAGAUGCCAUAGAUAGAAAUAAUACCAAGGAGUCGUAUUAUGGUUUCAUACAGGAGAUAUGGGAACUCGAAUACGGACCGCUGUACAUCCCUCUAUUUCUUUGCAAUUGGGUGAAGCUAACUGCCGUAACCAAAGAUCAGUACGAAAUGACAAUAGUAGAUCUGAGCAAGACUGGAUACAGUGAUGACCCAUUCGUACUUGCCAAUGAUGUGCAUCAGGUGUUCUAUGUGAAGGACAUAUGUAGCAAACCCAAGAGAAAUCCAGAAGAGACAUGGGAGCCAAAGUGCCACAUAGUUUUUCCAGGUAAAAGAAAAAUCAUGGGAGUCGAGGAUAAAACAGACCAAUCAGAUGAUUAUGAUCAGUUUGAUGGCAUGCCUCCAUUCGCAGUUGAAGUUGAUCCAAGCAUCGUGCUAUCCAAAGAAGAGGCUCCGUACUUACGCCGCGAUCAUGAUCAAGGAACUUUCGUGAAGAAGAAAUUUUACAACGUUGUAUUGUAAUGCGCUAAAUUUACAUGACCUUUGUGUAGUACUUGAUACAAUUUUUAAUUUAACCUAUGUAUGAUUUCAUGUGUUCUUAAAUUUGUUAGUUGAAGAUUUAUUAGAUAAACAUGAACAAUGUUAACCACAUACAUACAUGGAUUUUUUUGCGCGUUGAAAUUAUUUAAUUGAAUAAUUUCUUGAUCAUAGCGAUGCAGUAAAAUAAUUAUUUUAGGGGCUAAACGAACUGGUAUAGAGUUAAUGACUAAAUCACACUUAUUCUCAAUAUACUCGCUAAUUAAAUAUAUUUUUGCAUGUACAAACAUGUGAAGUUUUUUGUUUUUGCAUCCUGAAAUGCAGUGAAAACAUAAAUUAAAUCCUUUUCCAAAAAACAGGCGGGAGAUGAAAGUGUGGGAAAAGGCCCUUCUAUCCCGGGUGCCAAUUGAAACCGGGACAAAAGGCCCCCCUUUUAUCCCGGUUGACCACUGCAACCGAGAUAAAAGGGUAGUUUUCGAUUCCCGCCGGGGACGUACCCUUUUAUCCUGGUUACAAUUAGCAACAGGAAUAAAAGGGGGGGCCCUUUUGUCCCGGUUGGUGUUGGCACCCGGGACAAAAGGGUUGGUUUCGAUUCACGCUGGGGGACAUACCCUUUUAUCCUGGUUACAGUUAGCAACCGGGAUAAAGGGGGGGGGGCUUUUGUCCCGGUUGGUGAUGGGACCCGGGACAAAAGGGCCUUUAGUCCCGGGUGCCAUUACGAACCGGGAUAAAAGGGGGGAUAAAAGGCACUGUAGCCUCUUCUACCCCCCACGCCAGUUACACUUAGCCAAAUUUUCGCCAAGAUCCCGCACCCUCUCGCCUGCUCCAUCGCCGCCCGUCCGCCUCCCUCGCCGGCCGCCCUCGUCGUCGUCCCCCAUUGCUCCGGCCAUCGUCGCCCCGCCGCCCGACCGCCUCGCCCGCGCCCGGACCGCCUCCUCCUCCAUCGCCCCGGCCUGCCUCCGAUCCAACUCCAUCGCGCCCCCUCGACCUCGUCGCCGCCAGCCGCCUCCAUCACGGGGCCUCGUCGCCGCCUCCGUCCUCGUCACCGCCUCUGUCAACGCCACCUCCUCUAUCACCGCCGCGUCCUCGUCCGUCGCGGGGCCUCCUCGUCGCCGCCUCUGUCGCGUGCGCCGCCUCUGUCCGUCGUCGCCGGCCGCCUCCACCCGACGUUGCUUCGCUCCGUCCCCGCCUCCGCCGUCCCGUCGCCUUGGCCGCCGCCGUCCCGCCGCCCCGGCCACCUCGUCGCCCCGGCCACCGUCGACCGCGCAAGGUCCACCGGCUUGCGUCAGCAAGGGGCUUUUUUAUUUUUUAGUUAGAAAAUGAAUAGAAAUUAGUAGAUUAGUUAGAAAAUCAAUAGAUAUUUGUAUAUUAGUUAGAAAAUCAAAUCAGUAGAAAUUAGUAGUAAUUAGUUAGAAAUUUUUUAGAAAUUCAUUCAAAUUAGUAGGAAUUAGUAGUAAUUUUCUAGAAAUUCCAAUAAAUAUGUAGAAAUUUUGUAGAAAUUCUUACAAAGUACUAUAGUAGUAAUUUUCUAGAAAUUCCAUUAAAUAUGUAUAAAUUAGUAGAAAUUUGGUAGAAAUUCUUACAAAGUACUACUAAUUUGUUUAAAAUUUGUAUAAACAUUCCGGACUUUGUGGGAUUCAUGUUAUUUUAUGAUUUCAUGUAUAUACCCUUACGUACAUGUAACUAAGGUGAUUUCUAUGAUUCAUGAUUGUCAUGUGUGAUUCCAUGUAUGUUUCAAUCAGUAUUUGAAAUGGCAGACGACGAGACUGCAAGGUAUCUCAUGGAGCAGAUAAUCAUUGGUGAUGGUAGUGGCGACAACCUUCCAAUAUCGUAUACCGAUGAAGAGGGCACUCAGGCGUGUUCCUCAACAUGUCCGCCGACGG
rnacentral:lncRNA from 1 species